rnacentral:lncRNA from 1 species
ACAAUACCGGUAUGACCCCGAAACUUCCCGGUGUCCGUUUGACAACUUCCCAUAUAUAAAUCUUUACCUCCGGACCCUUCCGGAUCUCCUCGUGACGUCCAGGAUCCCAUCCGGGACUCCGAACAACAUUCAGUAGUCACAUACUAGUCUUCCUAAUAACCCUAGCGUCACCGAACCUUAAGUGUGUAGACCCUACGGGUUCGGGAGACAUGCAGACAUGACCGAGACGCUCUCAGUCAAUAACCAACAGCGGGAUCUGGAUACCCAUGAUGGCUCCCACAUGCUCCUCGAUGUUGUCAUCGGAUGAACCACGAUGUCGAGGAUUCGAUCAAACCCUGUAUGCAAUUCCCUUUGUCAAUCGGUACAUUACUUGCCCGAGACUCGAUCGUCGGUAUCCCAAUACCUUGUUCAGUCUCAUUACCGGCAAGUCACUUUACUCGUACCGUAAUGCAUGAUCCCGUGUCCAACACCUUGGUCACAUUGAGCUCAUUAUGAUGAUGCAUUACCGAGUGGGCCCAGAGAUACCUCUCCGUCAUACGGAGUGACAAAUCCCAGUCUCGAUCCGUGUCAACCCAACAGAUACUUUCGGAGAUACCUGUAAUGCACCUUUAUAGUCACCCAGUUACGUUGUGACGUUUGAUACACCCAAGGCACUCUUACGGUAUCCGGGAGUUACACGAUCUCAUGGUCGAAGGAAGAGAUACUUGACACUGGCAAAGCUCUAGCAAAACGAACUACACGAUCUUUUAUGCUAUGCUUAGGAUUGGGUCUUGUCCAUCACAUCAUUCUCCUAAUGAUGUGAUCCCAUUAUCAACGACAUCCAAUGUCCAUAGUCAGGAAACCAUGACUAUCUAUUGAUCACAACGAGCUAGUCAACUAGAGGCUCACCAGGGACAUAUUGUGGUCUAAGUAUUCACACGUGUAUUACGAUUUCCGGAUAAUACAGUUAUAGCAUGAAUAAAAGACAUUUAUCAUGAACAUUGAAAUAUAAUAAUACUUUUAUUAUUGCCUCUAGGGCAUAUUUCCAACAAAUAUUUCUAGUGCACCAUGCACCCGUCACAAAAAAAACCCAUCCUGGAAGUAACGACAACCACCGUUCUAACAUCUGAAAGUGCGUUAUAUCGACUAGAGGGGGGUGAAUAGGCGAUUUUUAUGAAAGUCUUCAAAACGUGGAAGUUAUGAAGACAAACAGUAGAGAUAAGCCUAUUACUAUGCAGCGGAAGUUAGACUACACUAGGCAAGUCAUGGUCAAGUAUCAACAGAGUGAAAGCACAGUGACAAAUAGUUGUAGUGUAAUUAGGAUCAGGUAGGAAGAUACUAUGAAGCCCAACAGAUCAUACACUCACGUUGUGAAGACAAAAGAUAGAACAGACACGCAAUGACUUCACAAUGAGUAAUCAGUAAGUAAAAGGAAGUGAAGAUGAAACCAGUGACUCGUUGAAGACAAUGAUGUGUUGGACCAGUUCCAGUUGCUGUGACAACUGUACGUCUGGUUGGAGCGGCUAGGUAUUUAAACCUUAGGACACACAGUCCCGGACACCCAGUCCUGAACACGCAGCUCAGGACACCAAGUCCUCACCGUAUUCUCCUUGAGCUAAGGUCACAUAGUCCUCGCCCAAUCACUCUGGUAAGUCUUCAAGGUAGACUUCCAAACCUUCACAGACUUCGUUCACUGGCAAUCCACAAUGUCUCUUGGAUGCUCUGAACGCGACGCCUAACCGUCUGGGGAUGCACAGUCCUCAAGUGUAAUAAGUCUUCAGAUCACACAGACAAGAAGACUUAAGUGAUGCCCAAUGUUCUCUAGCUCUGGGUGGUUAGGGCUUUUCUCCUCGCUAGGAAUUUUCUCUCAAAGGCUUCGAGGUGGGUUGCUCUCAAACGACAAAAGCCGUGCACUGAAAUCUGAGCAGCCAACCGUUUAUGGUUGUAGGGGGUGGGCUAUUUAUAGCCACUUGGCAACCCGACCUGAUUUGUCCGAAAUGACCCUGGGUCACUAAGGAACUGACACAUGUCUCAACGGUCAGAUUUCAAACUCUCAUGGCAACUUUACUUGGGCUACAAGCAAAGCUGACUUGUCCGGCUCUGGACAAGAUUCGCUCUCAUUGUCUUCACUCGAAGACAUAGGUUUUUGGUUUAGGCAUCACUUCAGUCAUUCUGACUGGUUCUCCUGGACCCCACUUAACAGUACGGUGGUUCCUAUGACUCAACACAAAAGAAAAAGAACUACGAAAGAUCUAAGUCUUCGAGCUCCAUAGGCUUCAUAACGUGUCUUCUUUUGUCAUAGACUUCAAUGUGAAUAUCUUCAUAUACCACCUUUGACUUCAAUGUCUUCAUACAUUUUUAGGGGUUAUCUCUGGUAGUAAAACCGAAUCAAUGAGGGACUUCUACCUGUGUUAUCCUGCAAUUCUCACAAACACAUUAGUCCCUCAACUAGGUUUGUCGUCAAUACUCCAAAACCAACUAGGGGUGGCACUAGAUGCACUUACAAUCUCCCCCUUUUUGGUGAUUGAUGACAAACUAGUUGAAGUUUUCAACGGGGAAUAUAGUCUGUGAAAUUGUAAAGGAUAAGGAAUUGUCUUCAUAAGUUGCAAGGGCUCCCCUUGAAGAUGUGCAUUUAAGUUAAUUUGCUUUUGGAAUGCAAAUGCACAUGGCAGGUUGUACUUGUGGAGAUCCACUUCAGCUUAUGAUGACAAUCCACUAUGCAUGUGAAAGUAUAUGAAGAUAAUGACAUGCAUAAUGGAAAAUGGACGUCUGCAGAAUGAGAUAAGUGCGGAAUUUAUCGUCGCACAUGCGGAAUUUAUCUUCGCAAAACAGGGUGGUAAACAAGUAGCAGACGACCAUCUGGUUUAAGUGUUACAACUCAUAAGAACCAAAUGUAGCAAAAAAACGAGAGUUGUAAGCACGAAGCAAAAUAUAAGGCACCCGCCCAUAUGAACCCGCUUGAAGACUAUCAAUCUCAUAUGCUUCUCCCCCUUUUGUCAGUAAUGACCAAAAAGGUUUGAAGACAUAGAGCCUCUACUCGUUCCCAUGAGGAGUAGAUGAAGUAGCAGGGUUGUUGGCGUUGUUUGGCGGUGCAGAAGAGCUUGGAGGUGCUGAAGCAGGUGGCGGUGAGGUAGCAUCGUCUUCUUCAUCAAUGAUUCUGGCAGUGACUGUGGCAGCAGAGGAAGAAAACUCAGAGUCUUCAAGAGAUGGAGUGCUUCGCAUCACAGCCCUUCUAGGAGGUGUGGUGUCAAACUUGAAUCGCUCAGUGAAGCCAUCCUCUUCAAGUUCAGCUUCAGUACAUAUCAUUGAUAGCCCUUUCCAUGUACGACGAUAGGUUUCAUGGGUAACAAAAGCAUUCUUGGUGGCAAGAUUUCGGAUACGAUUUACAUCCACCAAGAGGCUUUUCAUCUGUCUCUUCAACCAGUCAUGAUGCCUAUCCUGCUUUUGAUGAAGGGCCACAAGAAGCUCUCGGUCAUUGAGAACACGAGUGCGCUUCUUGGGUCUUGAAGCAGUGGCACUGUCAGUGGCUUCAGUUGAAGCAGGGUGUGGCGCACGUGUAGUGCCAGCCAAAGGAUACACCCUGGAGAUGGCUUCAACACCUUCAACGUUUUGAGUGAAGCUCUGGUGUUCUGCAUUCUGAAGACUCAAAGGUUGCUUGGCAGGCUCAGGAUAUAUAGCUUCAGCAGAGGUAUCCACAUCUGGCAAGAAGAUCCGAUGGUUGCGGGCUGGGGGCUGAUAUGAGAUCGCAGAGUGAAGCUUGAUCAGUCUCAUUACCCAAGGAGCAUAGAACUUCAAACCAAGUAAAUAUGAGCCUGAUGCAGCAAGUUGGCGUAUGAAGAAGUCCUGUGCGUUGAAGCAUUUGCCAUGAAGGAUACAAAAUAUCAGAGUCUUCAUUGCACCCUCGAUCUUGGCAUUUGGAGAGUGCCCUUUGAUAGGCCAGAGAGUCCGCCAGAUAAUGUGAUAGAUGGUUCUGGGCAGGUACUCAAAGUCUUCAACGAAGAACUCUGUUGGAUAAGGAGCAUCGUGGGGCAAUGGCUUCAUCAUGGAGAGCAUCUGACUCAUAUUCAGUUCAGGCCUCUGGAAUAUGCUCUCAAGAGCUUCAGUGUGUAGUGGACAGCCUUCCUCGAAGAAUUCGCCAGGAGUGGGCAGGCCGGUGAGCUCAAUGAUAUCAAAUGCAUUGGCUUCGUGAUGGACAUUGCCGGUCAUCCACUCUAGGACCCAAGUCUUCGGAUCUCUGUUGUAUCCUUUGAUAUGGAGGGUGGCAUAGAAUUGCAGCAGGAGCUCUUCAUUCCAGUGCUCUUCAUCAGUUACAAACUGCAGCAGACCCACUUGCUUGAAGCAAUCCAACGCUUCCUCUAAAAAGGGCAGACCAGCAAUGGCUUCAACAUCAAGGCGCUUGUGCGGGAAGAUGCGACCUUGGUUGUAUAGGAUGCAUGAAUAGUAGCUGCGCUGAGGAUAGCUCCAGAACCUAUCUAAUGAAAUCCUUUCCCUUGAAUAGGGGUUCUUGGAGCUGUUGAAGAAUGUAUUAUCUGCCUUGAAGCUAUUGAUGUUAAAGGAGCCAGGUGCUGAUGCAGGACCUGGGAACCUCGGCAGCCUUGGGACUGGCUUCUGGACAUGAGGCCUGUGCUCAACAUGGUAAUCAAAUUGAGGUCCUGCAACAGACUCAGGAACAGAAGUGUCUGCAUCAGUAGCUUCGCUGUCUUCUGAAGCUUUUGGUGGGGAGGGCUCCACAUUGGCUUCAAUGUUGGUUGUGGCAGCCUCAGUAUUUUCAGCCUCCGCUUGACUAGCUGGAGGGUCGGUCACAAGCACGUUCUCCUGGAGAACUGCUUCUUGGUGGAGCAUAGGAGUGGGCUCUUGUGGUGCUUCUUCUGCGGCUGAUGCAGCCGGAACGUCUUCAGCAUAGACUUGAGGCCUUGGACCUUUGCGAAGCCUGCGGAAUGCAGACGACGCCUGUGGGGUUGGAGUGGGCUGGGCCUCAUUGUCUUCUUCCUCUUGAGGGAGAUCCACCCAUGAAGCAUCCUGUGCAAUUGGCGUCAGUGGACGGCCAAUGCUGAUGAGUUCGUUGUGUUCUAAUUGAGGAAGGGCUGCAUCAUCUGCUACAUUGUCACGAUGACCAAUGUCUUCAGCAGCGAUGGGAUCAGCUGCUGGAAUGUCUUCAGGAACAGGAGCCUCUGUGGAAGCAGGCUCAUGCACCGUCAGUUGACGUUCUGCGUCAGGGUGAACCAUAGAAAUAGGUUCAACUAUCAAGGGCUCUGUGGGAGCAGCCCGAGAUUUCUUGGUCUUUCUCUUUUUCUUGCUGGGGGCAGUAGGAGAGGCUUCAGAGCUUUUCCUCUUCCUGGCUUCAGCCUCAGCAGUUCUUGUCUUCUUGAGCUCUAAAGCUGUUGACCGGCUCUUUGGCUUCGAGCCAGUCGUUGCAGUUGGGAAGACAAGCGCAACUGCUUCCUGCCUUGGUGCCUCUUGUUCAGCUGGAACAGUCUUCUUAUUUUUCUUUGCGGCCAUCUUGGGGUCGAUGCCAGGACGCCCAAGUGCCUUGCGCUUCUCAGCCUCAUUGUAGGCUUGCACACAUCUGUCCGCCAGAGACUUCAUCCGCUCACGUGAACCCUGAGCUUCUGCGCGCUUCUUCAGAAAGUUUUCCUUUAGCUCAUGCAACAUGAUCUUGAAGCUCUUCACUUCUUGCACGUUGAGCUUGGCCAUAUUCUUCUUGAACUGAGCCUUUUCAUGAUUAAUUUUCUGCUUCAGUUCAACAAUGCGCUGGGCAAUUGCAAGUUCUGAAGCAAUAGCGCCUUGGAAGGCGACGCUGAGGCCAACGGGCAGCUGCAGAUCUUCGAAGCUGAUGUUUGGUGUGGCAAACCAUUCGUCGAUGAAGUUGUGGAUGAUGGCGACAUCAAAGAGAGGCAAAUUGUUGAAGAUUUCAGCUUCUUCUUUGCUCUUGAUGAGCUGCUCGAGAGCGUCAUCUCCAAGAUCUUCAUCACUUGACAGAUCAAUGGCUUCGCUGUGCAGAAUGGCAGCAGCUGUGAGCUCUUUGCCGGUGUGUGGCUGAGGCAUCUUCGCCUUCUGGGGCUUGGAGACGCGGGAUACGUCUUCAGACUGCACACUGUCUUCAGGAGGUGCAGUUGCCAAUGGCUUCGCCCUUGAGAUUUUUGGUGAAGGGGCCGGUUUUGAAGCUUUUGGCUUCUUCGAUUGCUUUGGCUUCGGUACAGCAGGAGCUUCAUCAGACUCAGAGUCAGCUGGAGGGUCAUUCACGGCAGUCCCUUGGACUAAGAUGCGAGUGAUGAGGCCCUCAAGGUUGGCAUACGGACCGAUGAUAUUGGGUUCUGCAUCGCGUGUGCCAUCUGCCCUAGGUGCGGAGGGACCAGGGUUGAAGUCUAACCCAAAUUUCUUCUUGUUCUGCUUUGCUGAUUGUUGGGCAAAUUGGAAGUUGCGCUUGAACAGAUUGUCGUCACGACACCAGAGUAGUGACGACGGAUGUGCAUCAUCAGGCUGUGGCCCACGAACCAUGCAUGGAUAGAAGCUUUGGGCAAUAGCUUCAUCUCUGGACCUGGGUACAAGGUUCUUGUAUAAGAUGUCUCCCCACGGUCUUUUGAUGGCACUUUUCUCAGCAUACUCCUGGGUGACGAAGCGGUAUUGGAACCAUUGUUCUGCCCAAUAGCGUCGAAUCCAUUGGAUUCGGGUCUUGCGCUGACCAUAAUUCUCUUCAGGAUCUGUUUUGUACAUUUCUGCCAGUUCAUCAGGCAGAUCUUUGGAUGUUCCUCCACGUCUCUGUCUGCCCUCCUUCCUUGCUACUGUUUCUGAAGCCAUAAACUUUAACUUGAAAGGCUUCAAAACUUUCAAAGGCUUCAAAGGCUUUCUUUUGCUGGACCAACAAGAACUGGCUUCAGGAGAAUUUAUGUGAUGUUGUAGGAAUUCUGCAAAUGAAUACAGACUAUGAGAACCAAGGGAUUCUCCCACGGACAUGUACCUGUGACAGCAUUAAGGUGCGAGGGAAGGGGAAGAGGUCAUAUGCAUUCUCAGAAGAUUUUGAAGAUAAAUCAGUUUAGAAGACAUUGACCUCAUCGUGCGAAGACAUUCACUCAUAGAUAAGAAGUUGGUUCUAGAUUUGUACGAAUCCACAGAUCAGUACAAGUGAGGAAUCUAACUACUUUGUGAAGCACAAGUGAAUAUACUAGGCAUGUUAUGAGAUGCAGUUUGAGAGAGAUCUAGCUUGUGUGAACAGAAACUUCUUGUGGUAGAAAGUGACAGAACAAGAGGAUCUAUCGUGCUGUAAAAAGGCAGUUUUAUUUACCACACUGAGAACUGCUAGACGGAGCGAGAGAUGAGGCCGAGCAGUUCACUCGUCUGUGCCCUAACUUGGCGACGGAGGAGACCUACGGCGACGGCGGAGAGGAAGAUGUCCGCGGUCGGCGCGAAGACGGCGUCGGAGAGGUUGCAGCAGCGAAGCACUUCAUCGCCGGCGUCGCCGAGAGCUAGCGGUGGCGCUAGGGUUCGUGCAAGGGUGGAAGAAGAGAUAGUUACCGCAGUGAGUGUGUAUUUAUAGGCACAGGGGCGGCACUGUGCUGUUACACAGGUGCCCCUGGCGAUUCGCAUCUAAGGAAUGUGUGGCCAGUUUGCGGAAGUUUGGGGUUUGUUCCACGUCCCACGCACGCCUGGAUUGUCGGGUGGUCGUUCCUGCUUCUCCGGAUUUUAUGUGGAGGAAUGAGCAUUGAAAACGGACUUUAUGGUUGUCUCUAUAUCUUCUGCUGACAAGGACGCAGUGAAGACAUUCGACAGUUUCAAUAGAAUGCAUAUGACUUGGAGAGAUAGAAUUUUGAGAUAGAGAGCAUAGAGAGGUUAGGGUCCGAUCACAUUCACUUAGUUCAAAAGAUUCAAACAAGAAGACAUAGCUAUAAGUGAAUGAUGUAGAGGACAGAACACUAGUAUAUAUAUAUAUAUCUAUAUAAUCAACGUAGUGAAGAUAAUCAUGAAGACAUGUUGAGUUCGAAGCCAAACCAAAUGUGAAGACAUUGCAAGGUAGCGCCAUGAGUGAAACACUUCAAAAUAGAACAUUUGGUGGUGGCGUUACCCACCGUAUAGGAAGUAUUAGACCCAGACACGGCGCACAAUUAUCGUGGCGCUCCGAAGUCAAAUUCCACAUUAAUGUAUUCACAUUUAGAAUGUAUGUCUUCAUUGAUUGAAGAUAUACUUUACUUCGUGUGUUGCACAUCUAAGUCAUGAAUAUGCAUAAGGGUUAGGAUGUGUGCCUGAUCACAGGACAUUUGAGGAUUCCAGGAUAUUUAGCUCACACCGUAACUUGCAAAACCUCUUCUCAUCCAAGGGCUUGGUGAAGAUAUCUGCCAAUUGCUCUUCAGUGUUGACGUGUAUGAUAUCAAUGUCUUCCUUCACAACAUGAUCUCUGAGAAAGUGAUGACGAAUUUCAAUGUGCUUUGUCUUCGAGUGCUGAACUGGGUUGUUGGCAAUCUUGAUGGCGCUUUCGUUGUCGCAGUAAAGUGGCACUUGCUUCAGAUGAAUGCCAUAGUCCUUGAGUGUUUGCUUCAUCCACAGAAGCUGAGCGCAGCAAGAUCCAGCAGCAAUGUAUUCAGAUUCAGCAGUGGAGAGAGAUACAUAGUUCUGCUUCUUUGAAGACCAACAUACAAGUGAUCGUCCCAGAAAGUGACAUGUGCCUGAUGUAGACUUGCGAUCAACUUUGUCACCAGCAUAAUCAGCAUCCGAGAAUCCAACCAAAUCAAACUCUGAGCCCUUUGGAUACCAUAAUCCUAGAGUUGGGGUGUGAGCCAAAUAUCGAAGAAUUCGCUUCACAGCUAAGUGAUGCGAUUCCUUUGGUGCCGCUUGAAAUCGAGCACACAUGCAAACACUAAGCAUAAUAUCUGGCCUAGAUGCACAUAAAUAGAGCAAAGAACCAAUCAUGGAGCGGUAUACCUUUUGAUCGAACUCUUUACCAUUGUUGUCGGGACCCAGAUGAUGUUUGGCUGGCAUUGGUGUUGUGAAGCCUUUGCAGUCUUGCAUACCGAACUUCUUCAGGCAAUCUUUGAGAUACUUCUCUUGAGAUAUGAAGAUGCCAUUGCGUUGUUGUCGUAUUUGAAGACCAAGGAAGAACUUCAGCUCCCCCAUCAUGGACAUCUGAUAUUGCUCUUGCAUCAUAUAUCCAAACUCUUCACUAUACUUCUGAUUGGUGCAGCCGAAGAUAAUGUCAUCCACAUAUAUUUGGCACACAAACAGUUCACCAUCAUAUGUCUUCGUGAAAAGAGUGGGAUCUAGGGAACCAGGUAUGAAGCUUUUGCUCUUCAGGAAGUAUUUGAGUGUGUCAUACCAGGCCCUAGGGGCUUGUUUGAGGCCAUACAGCACCUUGUUGAGCUUGUAUACCAUGUCAGGAUGUUUUGGAUUUUCAAAGCCAGGCGGUUGUGCAACAUACACUUCUUCUUCAAUCUUGCCAUUGAGAAAGGCACUCUUCACAUCCAUUUGAUAUAGAAGUAUGUUAUGAUGAUUUGCAUAGGACAGCAGUAUGCGUAUGGCUUCAAGCCUAGCCACAGGAGCAAACGUUUCAUCGAAGUCAAUGCCUUCCACUUGAGUAUAUCCUUGAGCAACGAGACGAGCUUUGUUUCUGACAACUUGACCAUGCUCAUCUUGCUUGUUGCGGUAUAUCCAUUUGGUGCCUAUUAUGUUGUGCUUCCGUGGAUCAGGACGCUUAACCAGUUCCCAUACAUUAUUCAGCUCAAACUAUUGAAGCUCUUCUUGCAUAGCUUGAAUCCAUUCAGGUUCCAUGAAGGCUUCUUCAACUUUCUUGGGUUCUGAUAUUGAGACGAAUGCGAAGUGCCCACAGAAAUUUGCUAGCUGAGUUGCCCUUGAACGAGUGAGUGGACCAGGUGCAUUGAUGCUGUCAAUUAUUCUAUCAAUCUGCACUUCAUUGGCAACACGAGGAUGUACAGGGCGAAGACUUUGCUCUUGCUGAUCUGUGUUGUUGUUGGGAGGAAUGUCUUCAGGCUGAGCAUUGUCUUCAUGUUGAUCAGGUGCUGAGAUGAUAAGUUCUUCUUCAGGAUGAGCUUCAGAAGGUAUGAUCUCUCCAGUUCCCAUUAGCUUGAUUGAUUCACUAGCUGGAAUUUCAUCUAGCACAUUUGGCAGUUGCUCUCUUUGUGAACCAUUUGUCUCAUCGAACCGCACAUCCACUGUUUCAACCACUUUUUAAUGAAAGAGAUUGAAGACUCUGUAGGAGUGCGAAUCCUUUCCAUAUCCAAGCAUAAAACCCUCAUGUGCUUUUGGUGCAAACUUUGAGGUGUGGUGUGGGUCCUUGAUCCAGCACUUUGCGCCAAAUACUCUGAAGUAACUGACAUUUGGCUUCUUGCCAGUUAGGAGUUCAUAAGAUGUCUUGUUCAGAAGCUUGUGAAGAUAAACACGAUUGAUUGUAUGGCAUGCAGUGUAAAUGGCUUCAGUCCAGAAUUUUCUUGGAGUCUUGUAUUCAUCUAGCAUCGUUCUGGCCAUCUCAAUGAGUGUUCUGUUCUUGCGUUCGACGACGCCAUUCUGCUGUGGCGUGUACGGAGCUGAGAAUUCAUGUGUGAUGCCCAAGGUAUCAAGAUAUGUAUCAAGGCCAGUGUUCUUGAAUUCAGUGCCAUUGUCACUUCUGAUGUGCUUUAUUUUGGCGCCGUAAUUGUUCAUAGCACGAUUGGCGAAGCGUCUGAAGACAUCCUGCACUUCAGUCUUGUAAAGAAUUAUGUGCACCCAAGUAUAUCUAGAAUAAUCAUCAACAAUAACGAAGCCAUAGAGGCAAGCAGUAGUAGUAAAAGUUGAGUAGUGAGUGGGACCAAAAAGAUCCAUGUGAAGCAGUUCGAAGGGUCGAGUAGUGGUCAUGAUUGUCUUCGAGGGAUGUUUUGCCCUCGUCAUCUUCCCUGCUUCACAGGCACCGCAUAAGUGAUCUUUCUUGAACUUGACGCCCUUGAUGCCUAUGACGUGCUUCUUCUUCGCAAGGGUGUGUAGGUUCCUUAUGCCAGCAUGCCCAAGCCUCCGAUGCCAAAGCCAGCAUUCUGAAGCUUUUGCAAGAAGACAUACUGCAAGUUGUGGCCCUGCUGAGAAAUCUACCACGUACAGAUCAUCUUUUCGAUACCCUUCAAACACUAGAGACUUGUCAGAUUCCACUAGUACAAGGCAACGAUAUUUUCCAAACAUUACGAUCAUGUUCAAAUCGCAAAGCAUUGAGACAAACAUUAAGUUGAAACCAAGGGAUUCAACAAGCAUGACUUUAUCCAUGUGUUGAUCCUUUGAGAUUGCAACUCUACCUAGACCCAAUACCUUACUUUUACCAGUGUCAGCAAAUGUGAUGUGGCUCUUGUCGGAUGGACGUAAGGUUGAGUCCAUAAGAAGACUUCUUUUGCCAGUCAUGUGAUUUGUACACCCACUGUCAAUAAUCCAUUCUGAAGACUUUGAAGACGCUGGUGUCGUACCCUACAGUGCAGUUAGGGGGAUAGGCUUCAUGAAGAGAAUUGUGAAGCAAAAACAUUUGACAAACCAGUGGGUUAUGAAAACUUAGAUCCAGAUUAGGACUAAUAGGGAGAGUAGCAUGCGAUUCAGGAACGAAGUACAUAAUGAUGCCAUUUGGGCAUUUUAUCUUGCGCCCUGCAAGAUUUUUAAGGUCCCCAGCAAAAGCGUCAGAAGAUUUUGGUUUUCUACUGGAGACCUUUCCCUGCAAAAGAGAGUUAAGCUUUCUUAACCACCCACAUCUUCAAGGGUGGCUUAGAAGCAAUAAGUCUAAGUGCAGCAUCUAAGAAUUUUGGUUUUGGAGCCCUAGCAAACAGUCUGGCAGGCGGACAAUAGUACUCAUAAGAAUAGGCAGAAUAGUUUUUGGUCAUAUGAACAUGACGGUUUGAUGAACCGCUCUCAUAUUCAUAUGCCUGAGUAUGGUUUCCCUGCAAAAUAUUUGCGUUAGUGCGACUCAGGUGAGUCCUCUUUCUGUAUGAAGCCUUUAGACCGUAUGAAGCCUUUGGUCUGAGGUUUGUCUUCUUCAAGUGAGGUGUCAUGAAGACAUUCACAGGAAGAUUUUCCAGACACUUUUUCGGAACCCAGAUCUUCUUCAUAGGCAGUCCAUUCCUGCAGUUAGUACCAAUGUACCUCGCAAACACUUCACCAUUUUGAUUCUUAAACAGUAUAUAGUUUGUAUCAAAGGAUUCAUCAAUAAUAAUGGGGUUAGCACAAGUGAAGCCAGAUAAAUUGGAUGGAUCUGCUGAAGGUUCCUUUGCAGCAACCCACUUGGUUUUGGGGUACUGCUCAGGUUUCCAGUAAGAGCCAUCUGCAUUUAUUUUCCUUACGAACCCAACACCCUCUUUCCUAGGGUUUCGGUUCAGAAUCUGCUUUUUCAGGACAUCACAUAGCGUCUGAUGCCCUUUAAGGCUUUUGUACAUCCCUGUUUCAAGCAAUGUCUUCAACCUAGCAUUCUCAUCAGCAAUAGCAGUGGUAUCCUCAGCAGAGGGGUUAGUUACCACAUCAACAGUUGAAGAUAUUGCAAUAGCAGUAGCAGUGGAACAUUCAGCAACAAAAGUAUCAUUAUCACGCUCAAUGCAUUUAAGACAUGGUGGUUCAAAUCCUUCCUGAGCGGAACUGAUAUGUUCGGCGCGAAGUAACUCGUUUUCCUUUUGAAGAUCUUCAUGAGCCGCUCUCAAUUUCUCAAGUUCUUGCUUCCUUUGAAGAUAAUCAUAGGAAAGCUUUUCAUGAGUUGUUGAGAGAGUAUCAUGACGAUCUUCAAGUUCCUGAUACUUAACGUGAAGAUUUUUUAUGUCUUCAAUUAAGGAUUCAGAUCGAGUCAUUUCAGCACCCAACAGAUCAUCGCUUAUGUCUAACAGUUUUGAAUAUGUUCCAUGGCUUUCUAUUGUUCAGUUGCAAUUUUAGCAAGUGUUUUGUAACUGGGUUUUGAAUCACAAUCAGAGUCAUCGUCACUAGAUGUUUGAUAGUGAGUAGUGCGUUUGUUUACCUUGGCACCGCGUGCCAUGAAGAAGUAGGUUGGAGUGGAGUAGUCCUUGUCAUUUGCAUCGGUGUGGGUGAUGAAAUCAUUGUCUUCAAUGUUAAAGAUGGACUUGGCGACGUAUGUUGUAGCCAGACUUGCAAUGCCAGAAUCAGACUCCUCCUCAGACUCCACCUCUGCCUCCUCAGAAGCGGACUCCUCCUCUGAAUCCAUUUCCUUGCCAACAAACGCACGUGUCUUGCCAUAUGAGCUCUUCUUGUGUGAUGAAGACUUUGAGGAAGACUUGGAAGAAGACUUUGUGUAUUUCUUCUUCUUCUUGUCGUCAGAGUCAUAUUCCUUGCUCUUCUUCUUCUUUCUGUUCUCAUUGUCCCACUGUGGACACUCGGAGAUGAAGUGUCCAGUUUUCUUGCACUUGUGGCAUGUUUUCUUCUUGUAGUCAUGAGCAGAAGCUUCAUCAUUCUUUGAGCUUGAUCGUGAAGACUUUCUGAAGCAUUUCUUCUUGGUGAAUUUUUGGAACUUCUUCACUAGCAUUGCAAGUUCCCUUCCAAUGUCUUCAGGAUCAUCAGAACUGCUGUCAGAUUCUUCUUCAGAUGAGGAAACAACUUUUGCCUUCAAGGCACGAGUUCGCCCAUAGUUUGGACCGUAGAUAUCUCUUUUCUCAGAAAGCUGAAACUCAUGUGUGUUGAGCCUCUCAAGUAUGUCAGAUGGAUCGAGUGUCUUGAAAUCAGGACGUUCUUGAAUCAUCAGGGCUAGGAUGUCAAAUGAACUAUCAAGUGAUCUCAGCAGCAUCUUGAUGACUUCAUGUUUGGUGAUCUCAGUAGCGCCGAGGGCUUGAAGCUCAUUUGUGAUGUCAGUGAGUCUGCCAAAUGUGUGCUGGACAUUCUCAUUGUCAUUUUGCUUAAAGCGGUUGAAGAGAUUGCGAAAGACACUGAUUCUUUGAUCUCUCUGGGUUGAGAUGCCUUCAUUGACCUUGGAGAGCCAGUCCCAGACCAGCUUGGAUGUCUUCAAAGCACUCACACGGCCAUACUGUCCUUUGGUCAGAUGACCACAGAUGAUGUUCUUGGCAGUAGAGUCCAGUUGAACGAAUUUCUUGACAUCAGCAGCAGUGACACCUUCUCCAGCCUUGGGAACGCCGUUCUCGAUGACAUACCAUAGGUCGAUGUCAAUGGCUUCAAGAUGCAUACGCAUCUUAUUCUUCCAGUAGGGAUAUUCAGUUCCAUCGAAGACGGGGCACGCAGCGGAGACUUUAAUUAUCCCUGCAGUCGACAUAGCUAAAACUCCAGGUGGUUAAACCGAAUCACACAGAACAAGGGAGCACCUUGCUCUAAUACCAAUUGAAAGUGCGUUAUAUCGACUAGAGGGGGGUGAAUAGGAGAUUUUUAUAAAAGUCUUCAAAAUGUGGAAGUUAUGAAGACAAACAGUAGAGAUAAGCCUAUUACUAUGCAGCAGAAGUUAGACUACACUAGGCAAGCCAUGGUCAAGUAUCAACAGAGUGAAAGCACAGUGACAAAUAGCUGUAGUGUAAUUAGGAUCAGGUAGGAAGAUACUAUGAAGCCCAACAGAUCAUACACUCACGUUCUGAAGACAAAAGAUAGAACAGACACGCAAUGACUUCACAAUGAGUAAUCAGUAAGUAAAAGGAAGUGAAGAUGAAACCAGUGACUCGUUGAAGACAAUGAUGUGUUGGACCAGUUCCAGUUGCUGUGACAACUGUAUGUCUGGUUGGAGCGGCUAGGUAUUUAAACCUUAGGACACACAAUCCCGGACACCCAGUCCUGAACAUGCAGCUCAGGAUACCAAGUCCUCACUGUAUUCUCCUUGAGCUAAGGUCACAUAGUCCUCGCCCAGUCACUCUGGUAAGUCUUCAAGGUAGACUCCCAAACCUUCACAGACUUCGUUCACUGGCAAUCCACAAUGUCUCUUGGAUGCUCUGAAUGCGACGCCUAACCGUCUGGGGAUGCACAGUCCUCAAGUGUAAUAAGUCUUUAGAUCACACAGACAAGAAGACUUAAGUGAUGCCCAAUGUUCUCUGGCUCUGGGUGGUUAGGGCUUUUCUCCUCGCUAGGAAUUUUCUCUCAAAGGCUUCGAGGUGGGUUGCUCUCAAACGACAAAAGCCGUGCACUGAAAUCUGAGCAGCCAACCGUUUAUGGUUGUAGGGGGUGGGCUAUUUAUAGCCACUUGGCAACCCGACCUGAUUUGUCAGAAAUGACCCUGGGUCCCUAAGGAACUGACACGUGUCUCAACGGUCAGAUUUCAAACUCUCAUGGCAACUUUACUUGGGCUACAAGCAAAGCUGACUUGUCCGGCUCUGGACAAGAUUCGCUCUCAUUGUCUUCACUCGAAGACAUAGGUUUUUGGUUUAGGCAUCACUUCAGUCAUUCUGACUGGUUCUCCUGGACCCCACUUAACAGUACGGUGGUUCCUAUGACUCAACACAAAAGAAAAAGAACUACGAAAGAUCUAAGUCUUCGAGCUCCAUAGGCUUCAUAACGUGUCUUCUUUUGUCAUAGACUUCAAUGUGAAUAUCUUCAUAUACCACCUUUGACUUCAAUGUCUUCAUACAUUUUUAGGGGUCAUCUCUGGUAGUAAAACCGAAUCAAUGAGGGACUUCUACCUGUGUUAUCCUGCAAUUCUCACAAACACAUUAGUCCCUCAACUAGGUUUGUCGUCAAUACUCCAAAACCAACUAGGGGUGGCACUAGAUGCACUUACAACAUCCAACCAUCAAAGUGGGAUCAUCACUUAAUGCAAAACACAUAUUAGGGCUAUGGGGAUCAAAAUCAACUCCAUUGAUUCAUACUUAAUCUCAAGUUGUUUCUGAAAUAGAAUAAACGGGUUCUCAUGAACACCCUUGGUAAUAAACACCUUGCAAUUGGUGUGACAGAGUGGAAAACACCCUUAAAUCAUAACGUGCCUCUUAUAUCAUUUUCGAGAUCGAUUUCCCCCCUAAUGUAUCUGUGAAAGUGAGCAUCAUAUGUGCAAUGAGAAGAGCUGGAGUUGCAAUUGAGGAAAAUAAAACAAUUUUUCUGGCACCAUAAAAAUGCAGUAAUCUGACCUCUCCGACAUCGAAUGCGGGCGUGCGGCACUCAUCAAAUGUUUGAUUUACUCCAUAAUGGCCCCUUGCCUCCUCCACGGUGCUCGGCAGAGCGAGCAAAUAUGGCACUGCAGAUUUUCAAGUUACCAUGGCCAUGAGAAAGAUACAUACAUAUGUGGUUGAAUAAUACAAAAUAACAAACAACAUUGCCAUUGGGACCGAGCCGACGUACUGCUGCUACUCCUCACCAUGAUACGCACAAGGCAGUCAGCCCUGGCAUGCACGCUAAUAAAAGGAAAAGAAAUAGUAACAUCAUUGCCCCCUAUUUAUAAGUUGCUUCCUCUGAAUUCCUAUCUAUCAGCUGACAAUAACCUGAAAGAAUACCAGGCACAUGAACCUUACAUGUAAGCACAAAACACGAGCAUGCAACAAUUUUUUAAGAUAAAGGGUGAAAACAGAUGUGCGUCAAUUACCAGGUCAUUUAAGUUAAAAUAACCAUUAGCCAAACAAUGAAGUUCACUAUAUGGAAACCAUUUAACUUUAGACAUUGCUACCUUUCAACUGGAAAAUACCACAUCUGUGUAUGCAGUUGCAUGGCACUAACAAAACUUCCAGUACUAUAAGAAAAAAUCUGGCUAUUUUAAUUACCUCCAUGGUUAUUGAACAAGAGCAAGAUUGACUUGAUUUGCACACAAGCACUUACAGCUGCGCAGGGGGAUGAGAGGAGAGGAGAGGAGGGCACACCUCAGUCGGGUCCUCGUCGGGAGCGGUGGUUGGAGAAGCUGCAGGAGGCCGAGGCACCGGAUCGACGACCAGCAGUCCGCCGGCCAUAGGUGUGUCUCGCCAUCAUAAUAAAUAAAUCCACAACCCAAAUGGACCGACAAAGUGCAACUUACCCUUUAUCGGAUUAAAUUAAGAACCAACAACAAACAAUAAAAGAUCAAGAACAACUUAUAUGCAGUGAAGAUAUGAGAGAAGAAACCUUUACAUAAGAUGGCUAUAAACACUGGAGCAUAAAUAAGCAACACCUUUAAAUACAAAUAAAAAGGGUUCAGGGUUCAUUGCAUAGUGGGCUCAGAUUACCUUUCCUCGAUCAUAUAACCUGCCCCCGUCAUCUCUUAUCACCAGCUCAAUCUGUUUAUACAGUAGAGCUGCCCUGGUUAUCACUCAACAAGAAUGACCAUCCAAGGACAACAACAAGCAUCACAGGAUCAAAAAGGAUUCUAGAGACAAGAGGGAGGAUCCAACUUGAUACCCACAGGUGCCUCGAUUGCUCAAAGGCACACUACUUUCAGCCAAGGUAAUCAUCAUCUCCCAUUUUGUUGCCAUUGGAAUUUUAUCCGACGGCUCACAACGAUCUGGUAAAUAUCCACGUGAGCCGAGCCCGAGAUCCGACGCCCGAAAACACAUCAGGAAAACGAUCGGACGGUCAGAAUGCUCUAAUCACUGAGAACGCUCAGGUUUCGAUCUGUCUCAUGUUUCUGGAAGAAAGGAUUCAGGGUUCAUUGCAUAGUGGGCUCAGAUUUGCCUUUCCUCGAUCAUAUAACCUACCCACGUCAUCUCUUAUCACCAGAUCAAUCUGUUUAUACAGUGGAGCUACCCUAGUUAUCACUCAACAAGAAUGACCAUCCAAGGACAACAACAAGUAUCACAGGAUCAAAAAGGAUUCUAGAGACAAGAGGGAGGAUCCAACUUGAUACCCACAAGUGCCUCGACUGCUCAAAGGCACACUUAUUUUAGCCACGAUUAAUCAUCAUCGCCCUAGCACGAACGCCACUGAUCAAUCUAGCAAAUCCAGGAGCAUAGGUAUAGGACCAGGGCAUCCACAUGUAAACCAGAGCAUCAAAUGAGCUCCUAUGAUAGCAACUAAACAUGAAAAGCAGCCUGCAAACACUAAGAUAGCAUGGAUCCACAACUACAGAGCUCAAGUAGGAACCGAUGCAUGAGUAGGGCAUAGAGCAUGAACCAGAUGAGCACCACAUCAAUAUUGCCACGGCCAUAUCCCAUACAGUAGCCGAAGCAGAGGAGCAGAUGGAAGAUGGAGCUCACCGAGGGAGGUUAUAGCUGAGACAGUACUCAGUGCGUGCCGGGGUUGCGCCUGAACGCCAUCCAACCGGCGAGGAACCGCGUCAGAGUUGCGCCUUGCACCGUCCCGCCGACGAGCACGAACGCAUCAAACAACCAAGUGACUCUGUGCACGGAAUACAUGUCACACAAUAUAAAAAAUCAGAUAUGCCAUCACAAUAGGCGAAUAAACAUCUAGUAAAAACAGAACAAUGUAAGAUCCAUACUCACCUAAGAUGAGCCGGGGCAUGCCUAUAUGUGCUCCAUUCAAAUGCUUAAUGCUACACAGAUCAAGAUGGAAAGAAACAAAUCAGGUAGAAAUCAACUCACCCACAUCAACAAUAUAAGAAACAAACAAAAGAUAUUUCCCCGCGAUAACACAAACUUGCAGCCACAGCACAAAAAUCCUCCUGGAAGUUGAAUUUGGCAUCGACCUGGACUGCGAGCUAUGAGAAGGGUUGCUCGGAGAUCACGUCUCCUCAGCGACAUAUACCAUCUUAGGGAGUCUAAACACCUCUCUCCAGGCCAUAGCUGACACCACUACAAACAAAAGGGAAAGGUUUCGAUGAGUACAAGUAAAGGAAGAAAAGGCCAACAACAAUUAAGUAAGUGAAUAGUUGCCAUACUUUGAGGAUACUCUUAUCAGAAAAAAUGAAGCUAAAUAUGUAAAUAAAAGUUUCAGACCUAUCGUCUGUGCAAUUAUCAGAGUUGUUAUUUUUAGUAAGCAUAGUAUCAUUGGUCUCAAAUUUGCAUAUCUGCUUUUGCAGCUGUAUCGACCACAAAACAACGAGCCAAAAAUUUACCAUUAAAGACAUUCCACAUCACACGUCCAUAAAUCAUGAAUCGCACAAAAGAACAAAAAAGACGGGAGGGAGGUGGUAUACCUGAAUUGGAAAGGUUUUCGACAAGGAAUUACAACUCUGUACAACGACAGCUACACCAUUGGGAUAGCCGUGCUGCACACAAAACAGGCUCAUGUCACAGAAUUGAGCGCCAUGGAGAGGAGAGGUGGCCAGUAGUACGACAAUGAGAGAACACCUACAACAAUCGGCGAGUGAGCAUAGGCCUAAAAUUCAUCUAGUUGCAUUCUGCGAGACCUAGGUUGUUAUUUGAAACUCAUAAAGUGAUAGGCCUGACAAAUAGAUGAUCUAUGAAGAGCAAGAGCGUGUAGAAAGCAUCUGAUCUAUACAUAUGGGAAAAGCACCUACAAACCGGCGCCAUGUCAAAUUUUAAACUUGUUCAGAAUAAGAAUUCAUGUGCCUAACAAAAAGAUGCCAUCCCAUAGCAAAGCUUUUCUCUUCUCCUCUCUGUUACCUCGAGUAGCUGCAUUAGCUUAUCAUAUAAUUAUUUCUACUAUAUGAAGAGAAGCACUAUUUUAAUAGAUAUGUUUGAUAGAAUUGGCAAUAAUUCUUUCAACUCAAGACAUAAAAUAGACAAGCCUUCCAGUAUGGGGACUGGUAUUUCCUAGCUGCAAGUAUUUAGAACCAUUGACAGAACUGCUAGUCUAUUUAGUCACAGAAAUCAACACAUAUGUAAACAACAUAUCUAGAUUUAGGAACACUACAAACACACGAAGCAUAGACCGAUAAUAUCUAAUAAUCUGUAAAUCAUACUUGCUAUGGUGUUAUCUUUAAGAGAUGCAUGUGAUCUGAUUGAGAAAAACACCUUGUGUGGCCAUUCUGCUUGUGUGACCACCCAUGCUCCUCACUAAUGCAAACAUCAACUAACCAUAAUUGCAAUUCAAUAUUUGGAAACUCAGAUCAUCACACCCUUGCCUCGGUUAUUGUUGAAUCAUAGGAGCAUAGUAGAAAGAAACAAUAAAUAAAACAAGCAAAGGAACAAAAUAACCAACAUUCCAUGCACAAAGGUGAAAGGACCAACAAUCAUAGGCCCUACAAAGAUCCAGACAAUGAACAAAAGGCAUAUAUCUAGGCUCCACUAAAAACAAGCAGUGAAGGAAGGAAACGACAAACAUCCAAUGCACAAAGACAAAAAUACUUUUGGCCUUUAACAGAAAGGACAUGAUCUACAAGCAGAACAGAGCGAGGCAAAAAAUGCAUACUGCCAUACAAUCCUACACCUAGGUCUGGAAAGAAGAGGAGGGCAAAGGAGGAGAAGUGGGGUUGACCCGCAGAUCCGUGAACAAAGAUGGACGAGGUUGCUAAUAGAUGAUGUGCACGCACAGAUCGAAGGAGUCACCGACCAGGGGAUUGACCAGAAGGUCAUGAACCGUGGACCAAUCUGGAUGAAAAAAAGAUGAAAAAAAUAAAGAUUAGCAGUAGCCAAUAACCAAAGUGGAACAAAAUAGUGACAUACCUACGGAUCGACGAGUGCAGCAGAGGUGGAGCACCAUGGUGCAAUGUGCUUGCGGCCCGAGCUACGGCGCAGCCGCGGCGCCGAGUGGCAGUGGCAGCCUGUGCUCGAAAAGCAGAGCAACGGACGAGGACUGAGGAGGAGGGGCACCCCUGGCACGAGCAAGGGACCGCGCUGCUCGGGUCGAGCACUGGCGCAUCUCUACAGCUCGAGGCCAGCGACGGGAAGUGCGAGAGGAGAUGGACCGACGAUGGCAUGAGAGAGACAGCAGGGAAACGAGCGCAGGAGAGGAGGGGCUAGGAGAUGAAACGAGCGCAGGAGAGGAGGGGCUAGGAGAUCGAGCGCGGGAUCGAGUGGACGGCAGGAAUCCACCGCCGCCACGGACGCCAUCGCCGGCGCCGCUGAUCCGCCGCCCUCCUCCGUGGCCGCUGUCGCCGUCGCCGUGGUUGGUGGGAGCCGCCUAGGCGUGCGGGGCCACGCGGUGGCGUGUUGGGGAAGGAAGAAUGCGGGCGCCGGAGCCGUUGCCGCCGUCGCCGGAUGAGGAGCGAGCGAGGGAGGAGGGAGGCGACUGCGUGGGAGGGAGGGAGGCGGCUGCAGGAGCGAGCGAGGGAGGAGGCUGCUAGGUCUCCGUUGAGUGGCCCCCUUUUAUACCCCCACCACGCGAAAUGACCGAAAUGCCCUGGUGGGGGCAUGGUAUUUACAUUUUGUUGCCAUUACUAUUCAUUCCAGCAGUGAUCGUCUUAGAUUCAAUGGCCCGGCUUCCUCCAGAUGUCGAUCCAACGGACGAAAACGCAUCAAGGGAAAUGAUCCAACGACCGAGAGUCACUGAUCUCUAAGGAGCCAUGUAGAGACCUUCUUCUCUUAUUUCUAGAUUACUUGUAGCUGUUCCAUGAAUGUAGGUUCUUCUUUCUUUUAUCGGUAUAAAAUCAAAACUUGUGGAAUUGUUCUUGGUGUGGGUUUGAUUUUAUCGCGGAGGCUUCAUACGGGCCAGCCAGAGUCACCAUGGGCUAGGUGAUAGAGUUCCGCGUGGAGGCAUGGAUGCAGUCAGUCUUGUGUGUAUGUCUGCCCCAAUGGGUGCCAAUGUGGAGCACCUAUCUGCCCUGACUCGAGGCCCUUACUCGAGUAGUUGCGUUGGUGCUCAAAACAGCUAUUGGUUGUGCUUUUGCUUUGCAUGACUAAAUUGAGAUAAUCAUGUUUGAAAGAAAAGGGAAGGGUGUGCGUGAGGUGGGAUUUUUUGUGUUGCUGUUGGGCGCCUGUUUCAUGUUCAAACACUCCCGAACGUACGCGGAAGAAAUAAGCUUCGACCUUGAAGACAACUAAUCAUUUGUCAUUUAUUUAUAAUGCAUUGUUAGCCCGUAGCAACGCACGAACGUUCUACUAGUCUAAGGUAAUUAAGAUCUAAAGCACAUGGAAAACAAAACCUGUUUCCGAAUCGUGAGGUAAAUAGGCAAUCAGAUGAUCCACAAUCUGUAUGCCCCACACCCUUGCAUGCCACGAAUCCUCUCCCACAAAUAACCCAAUAUAUGUAUGCCAAGUUUUCUUCUCAACCAUUAUGAAUACUAGCUAAAUACUCGUGCGUUGCUAUGGAAUGAAUCAAUAUUUGAAGAGUCGUGGCAUGUGAAGCGAUAUAUUAUGGACAAUUUUAGAAAGAAUAUCUAGAAAAAAGUGGAUUGCGUAGACUAUAGGGAAAUAAGAUUGGGAAAGUCGCUACUCCUAAUCAUCUACAGACAUAAUUACUCGUCUGCCUAAUUAAUGAUUUGCAUUAAUGACUUAAUUUUUAAAUUGGUCCAUCGCUCAGUUUUUAAAUUAUUAUGCAUUAAUGGCUAUGGUUGAACAACAACGCGUAUACAUUCCCCUUUAAAUAGUAAAGAUGGUGUGUCCUAAUUGUUGAAGGGGAGUAAAACUAGUAUGAAAAUAGAAAGUACUCAAUUGAUAGCUCUAGAUUUGAUUUCAUUGGGCUAGCUAGUAUAUUUAAUGCUAACUCUUUGUGCAUAGUCAAUUAAGACUAGUCACAGUGGAGAGUAACUUAGAGUAGGUUACUAGUCUAUGUUACUAUUUUCACAGUGGGUACUAACAUAUGUGUUGUGUCAUGCAUCACUUCAUUUAUUAGGUUGUAGCAUUUUUUCUUGAUAUGUGUGAUAUUAUAGUAACAUACUAUGUUACCACAUACUUCUCUUUUUUCAUUAAUUACAUGCCACAUCAUCUAUUUUAAUUAAAUAAGUGUGAUGUUACCACUUAUGUUACUCCCACUAUGGGUAGUCUAAGAACAAGUGAUUUCAUCGUCUGACCCUAAGUUACAUGGUUGAUUCUAUGAUUUCUAUCUUUGCAGAUGCCAUAUGUCCUCUUGCAAAAAUUUGUACACGCUACAAAACUGUAGUGUGAAGUUUGACUACUACGGCUCAAUCUACAGCCAGACAGAAAAAUGCACUCCACAAAAAUAAAAUGUUUGAGUGCUAUUAUAAUGAUAAAAAAAAUCCUGCUAUAUUACCCAGAUGGAGCAUGAAAGUUGGCGUCCAAGAAAUUGAUUUCAUUUCANNNNNNNNNNNNNNNNNNNNNNNNNNNNNNNNNNNNNNNNNNNNNNNNNNNNNNNNNNNNNNNNNNNNNNNNNNNNNNNNNNNNNNNNNNNNNNNNNNNNNNNNNNNNNNNNNNNNNNNNNNNNNNNNNNNNNNNNNNNNNNNNNNNNNNNNNNNNNNNNNNNNNNNNNNNNNNNNNNNNNNNNNNNNNNNNNNNNNNNNNNNNNNNNNNNNNNNNNNNNNNNNNNNNNNNNNNNNNNNNNNNNNNNNNNNNNNNNNNNNNNNNNNNNNNNNNNNNNNNNNNNNNNNNNNNNNNNNNNNNNNNNNNNNNNNNNNNNNNNNNNNNNNNNNNNNNNNNNNNNNNNNNNNNNNNNNNNNNNNNNNNNNNNNNNNNNNNNNNNNNNNNNNNNNNNNNNNGUUCCACAUGGCACCGAGUAGCCAAAGAUUCCAGAGACGGUUCUCGCGCAAUUUGUCAAUGAUGAAAAACGUCCAAUUGGCGACGACAUGCGCACCAAAAACCCGGAGAAAAACAGUCAGUGGCAGCCUGAUCAUUGCGACACGAAUACAUCUGUAACCUUUACGGGCCGUUACAUUUUAAGAUUACGGCCAACACAUACAUGUAUGACUCUCUGAUUUAGCAUGCUUGAGUCAGGGCCUCUUUGAUCCUCUGUGCUACAAGAGUUUUAUCAGAAGCCUUUUGAGUCGCAGGACGUCUUUAUUUUCGUGAGAAAGAUUAUGAAUUCAAAAACUGCAGUGCUACUAGAGAUCAACGGAGCUCAUCUUUAAUUCCAUUUCGUGCCCUGAAACCCGCCGGAGCGCAGCCCUCCACGGCGGCCGCCGGUCCUGGUCUCCCACGCUCCAGUUAAUAAUGUAGGAAUAAAAGGCAGAGCUUUCAAAAAAAGAAGCGAGGGGACGGAAAAGACAAGGCGAUAAAUUACAAAGACGACCCCGAGCGACGGGGCGGCCCCCUCCUCCUCGGUGCCUUUCCCCAGCCAUCACGAGUCCCCUCCCCUCCCCGAACCCAACCAGAACCAACGCCACUCCACCACCACAACUGCGCCUCCCCCCCAAGGAUUCCCUCGGAUACCUUCCCUCCCCUCCGCUCCCCAGCUCCAGCUCCCGCCCCCACGCCGCGCCGUCGCGGCCGGGCCACGGCCAUUGGCCUCGCUCCUCCCCUCCCCUCCCCGUCGCCCUUCGGCCGGCCUCCGUCUCCCCCGCGGUAAGCCUGCAGCUGCUUCCCAAUCUUUGACUCCAGUGCCGCGAGAUCUUGGCUUGGAUCUGCGGCCCCGUGUCUUCCCCGGGCCGUCUACUCGUCGAGUUUGCUCGCUUCUUGUUCUCGAUUCGGCACAAGGAGCGCGCGUGCAGGGUGGAAUUGCGGCCGGGCUGGUCAUUUCAUGUCAACAUCCUUCCUUCUUUUGUCCCCCGCCUCAGUUCCAGCACGCGCAUCUCCGUCAAAUUCUUCUUUUUGGAAGAGGGGGUCGGUUCACUUCAGGUUGGCAGUACUAGUACCAAACGUAGCUUUCGCUGCAGCAGCUGCAGUCCAGCUCUGUUUUAUUUCUAGUACCGAAACAGUUGUUGGAGUUUGGGCGAUGUAGCUGUCCCUGGAAGCCCGAGUUUCUCCUCCCCAGUAAUGGAGUGGGCCGGUACUUGAAAGCCGAGCUGGCGCAUUGUUGAAAAAGAGCCAUCUUAUUCUUUUUCCUCAGGUGUUUGCUUCAGGUCUAGAUUUGAAGAAUCAUGUGGCAACGUCACAAAAAGAAUGCACAUGCCUGGAACUUCAAUAUGGGGUAACCAUUGCCCCUAGCAAAAUGUAGAAGCAUCAAGCUUCAGUAGAGGGUAAAGCUAGGUAGAGUACAUUGAGUGACAGUGGAGAAACAGAUCCGAUCUGUUGGCUCUCUCUGUAUGCAACUCUGAGCUCUCUAUAUAAUCUUACAGCUCCAAAUUAGAGCUUGAAAGCAUGGGCGCUUUGAGUCGGUAGGAUUCGAUUACAAUGUUUGAGUUUUGCAAACCUCUGACCCCUUCUCUGAAAUUUGUAGCAAGACUCGAUUACAUUUCCCCUCAGUUGGAGCGAGUGUCACCGUUGUACCUUUUAGGGGGUUUAGUUCAGUUUGGUAGUACCAAACUACCAAUCGUUGUGUUCAUAGCACCAUAGCAGUUUGUUUACUUGUACCAAAACAGUUGUUGGAGUUUAGGUGAUGUGUUACGCCACUGUCCCUGAAAGCCUGAAUUCCUACUUCGCAGUAAUGGAAUGGAGCGGUACAUGGAACCAAAGUUGGUACCUACAUGGCUGAUGCAUUGUUGAAUUUUUGUUGCUGCUGUUGCGUGUUUGCCCUGAAGUAAUUGUUGCGACUGUAGAUUGAAGGAUUAUGCGGAACCGUCACCAACCAAAUGUUGAAGAAUCAGACUCUAAUAUAGAGUUGCUAUUCUCACCAGCAAAAUGUGGAAGAACUAAUAUUUGAUAGAGGGUAGAUCCAGCCAGCUAGGUUGAGUACAUUGGGUGCCCAUUUGUUUGCUCUUUCAUAUAGUCUUUACCCCUUCAAAUUAGAGCCUCUUAAAAGCGUGUGUGGUAGCAGCCUGUGCGAGCUACUCAGCUGCCAAAGGAGUGAGCUACUCAACUCUGUUCUGUGGGAGCAUACUAAGAAACUCCUAGCAUUUUCAAUUAGUCCAGAGAUUUCAGAUUCCUACCAUGCAGCUAAAUCUAGUGCACAUGUUGUAGUUAAGGGAGCUUAGACUUGUUAAGCGCAUGCUAACUAUUUCCUUUCAUAUUUCACAAAGGUGGGCGGUUUAACACAUUUUUCAGUUUCCUGCUUUUAUUUUACAAGUCCUUGAAAUUAGAUUUAGCCUCUUCAAAAAUAAAUAAUUCAUUAUUUAAUCUUUAUUUAACUUUUAAUCGCCCCUUAUUAUUUGUGUAGAAUGAGAAGUUGUUAAACUACCUCGGGAAAACCAUUUCAGAGAAAGUUGACGUUCUCAAUUGUUGAUCUUUCUGAACUAGAUCCUUCAUAUAUUGAUAUCUGACUUUAUUUUGUGAAGGAAUAUGAAACUAAGGACAAAACGACCUGGAUGGAAGUCCCUCGUGCCUCUGCAGUUGAGCAGGAAAUCCACCAUGCGCUUCUUUCUGUUUCCCAAGGUUCAGGCAUCCGGUCAAUCUCCAAAUGAUACUCCGGUUUAUCUUAAUGUGUAUGAUUUGACACCCAUGAAUGGCUACAUAUAUUGGGCAGGCCUUGGUAUAUUUCACUCUGGCAUUGAAGGUACUUAUUUGUGUCAGAUGCAUCUUUUUAAGCAAACGUACUAUUUAUGCACCAGUUCUUUUCAUUCUUCUUUUCUCAUUUCUGUUUGGUUUCGAGUUAUAAAUCCAACACGACUUCACUGAUGCUAUAUUAGUCACCAUUUCUCCUGGAUUGUUCAGAUCAUUCCAACUAGCUCAUAACGGCUAAUGUUAACUAUCAAUAGGCUGCAGCUUACUUUUAUGUACCAUUCUCCAAUCAAGUUGUUACUUACUCGACUGUGCAUUAAAAUAACAAGUAAUCCCCUUACCUGAACGACUCAUGUCUGCAUAGUGGAGUUCUAGGUAAAUAAUAGCGCUUAUUUUGACCAUCAGGUUUUUGUGGUUGUAAUGCGACUAAUGAUAUCUUUGCCACCAGUAUCAUAGCAAUUUAGCACACGAUGCUUCAGGUGUUCAUCUAGUACAGAUUUUGGCAUAGCCUAUAUAAGCUCCAUCAUGUACUCAUAUGUGCUACUGCUGCUGUUAUUAGCUCAUAUUGCUACACUCAUGUAUAGGCAUAGCCUCUGAUCUUUUAUUUCUUUUGGUAGAGAUAAAUAUGGGAUGGUAGCCUAUGUUUUCCCUUCUACGAAAACUAUAGAUGAAUGAAAUAAUCUUUGCCUCUCUUGAUUUUGAGGGACCGCUCUAUAUGGCAUUAUGGCUUAGACUUCAAUCUUUCUUUCCCAAAUGGGUAGCUUCGGAAGGUGAAUAAAUAAAUAUUUUUACAUGUAUACAUAUGUAGACCCAUCUCUUAGACAUGAGGUAAGGAUCUUCCUGGAUCCCUUUAGUCCAGUGUCCGCUGCCAGGACAAGAGGAUGGAUAUUUAGGGCUCUCUCUAGAGCUUUUGUUAGCUUUAGCUUAUUCCAAUUGGGUCUGCUUGUGAAAAGGUGGAACAACAAUUAAACCUUUAUUCAGGUCCUCUAAAACAACACCAAAAUCCUACCUGGCUCUUCUGUUUUACUGUCCUCGUGCAAAUCAAACUGGACAAUUUUUGUGGAGUACAGAACUGAUCUGAAUAACAUUGUAGUCUGAUUGCCUUUUUUUUUUCUUCACAUGCAGUUCAUGGCGUCGAAUAUGCAUUUGGAGCACAUGAUUAUCCCACAAGCGGAGUAUUUGAGGUAGAACCUCGUCAAUGUCCUGGUUUCAGAUUCAGGAGAUCAAUAUUCCUUGGUACGACGUGCUUAGAUCCCAUCCAAGUUAGGCAGUUCAUGGAGCUACAGUCAGUAAACUACAAUGGAGAUUCUUACCAUCUUAUCAUGAAGAAUUGCAACCACUUUUGCAAGGAUAUGUGUUACAAAUUGACCGGCAGCAAAAUUCCAAAAUGGGUGAAUCGGCUCGCCAGAAUAGGUACCAUAACUUAAUGCAAGCACUAAUGCUUAUUAUUAUUAGAUGGUCAACUGUUUAUUCCAAAAGGAUAGGCAGUUGUGAUAAUGUUGAGUGCAUGGUCAGAAUGCAUUGAGCACUUUGACAAUUACGGCCAUCAUUCUUGCUGAUUAAAUUCCAUUGCCACUUUAUUUUCUAGAAAUGUAGUUUACCAAAUUGUUGUGUAAAGCUGUACUUUUUGUGAUCACAUCAUCUGCUAGUGCAAUUCUGUAAUCUUUACAGCGAUUGGACUGGAGACCUUGAUAGAUUAGGAAAAGAAUAUAACCCUCCACCACACAAAAAAAGGCAAUAUAUGACGGUGCACUUGACACCUGAUCUUGUUGCAGCCUAAUCAUCUGCUAGAUAUUUGAGAAGUCUCUGUUUUCAGUUUUAAACAGGAAUUGCAUUCAGCAUGGGCCAGCUUCCGCACAACAUGAAACUCUGAACAUGUAGUUCAACUGUCCAUGGUCGGUGUAGUUUCAUUUCUUGUCCAGAUAAAGUCGUAGAAGAAAUGAGAUUCUUGUCAUGUACAUCAAUUAUUAUUAUUUUUGCUUGUUUUCCUGAGGUCCUUAAAAACUGACUUUUAUCCCUUUUUCCUACAGGUGCCAUCUGCAACUGCCUCCUCCCGGAGUCUCUCAAGAUUUCCCCGGUCGGCCAUGAUCCAAACAGCCAGCCCGAGGAUUCAGAGAAGCGCCGCCUGCGAAACCCGUUAAGCUGCUUCUCCUCCAUCUCGAGCCAGAGAGCGCUUCCCCCGUCUUCUUCCCCUUUCCCUCCAUCGCCCGUGAAAGAGCCCAUUCUGAGCUCUUCAUUGAGGAAAUCCAGCACCGCGUCGCUCAAGAGUAGGUAGCCUGCGUAACUUUUGAGACCAAGUUGGCUAAUUCAGGCAGCGGCGGCGCAUCUGGACGGUGCCAGUUAAUUUCUCUCUCUCUCUCUCGGUGUCAGCCUAAUGCUUGCUUGUUGAUGUUGUUGUUUGUUGUAUCAUGUGAUGUAAUCCCCGUGAAAAGAGUGGCUAAAGACAGAUGUGAUUUGGGUGAACGAAUUCACCUCGAUUCCACCCGCUCCCUCCCUGUACUCCUGAUAGACUGUCGGCCAGAUUGGAUUUGUAUAUUAGUCUCUAUCUAUUCUUUCAGUUCAGUCUCCUCUAGUCCCUGUCUCAUCGUACCUGAUAUCUUCCUCCUGUUGUCACAUCCAUGCAUGCUUGUGUUGUCAUGUGAUUUUUUACCUAGUCAACUGUAAAAGCACAGACCAGUCUAGUUCAGCAGUAAAUCAGCUAGCCUGCCAUGUCCAUAUGCAGCUCACCGCAUGUGGUUUUCUGAAAGAUGGAGCAGUGUAGGCUCUAAAUGAAGGCACAUGCCAGUGGUCAGUUGAGCUGAGGUUGAGACCGGAAGUCAGUAAAGGUGGCUACAGGCGUACCACGCCUACGCCGGCGGAUCGGAUCUGCAUCUCAGCCAUACAGGUGUUGCAGCCGCGCUGCGAGCGUACAAUUCCGCGGAGUGGCGGCGUGCCCACCAAAGGAUAGGAGAAGAGAAGGACGAGGAGGGAAGGACAGCGAGCACGACAGUUUGCGGGCGCUGAAAGCUCUGCCCCAGUCUCCAAUCUCGUCGUACGUAACGUAGUACAGCUCCAGGGGGGAGGCACCUCUCGGAUAAGAAUGCUCCGAUCCUAUGAUGCCCCCACGACUAAGCAACGCCAAAGCCAAAGCCACGCCCAGCCCCCCGGCAACCUGCGUACGUUGCGUCCCCCACACGGCCACGGCGGGCGGGCGGGCGGGGGCCAUAAAGCCGGCGACGGCGACGGGGCUCGACGAGGACGACGGUCGAUGGCUCCCUCCGGGCUGUCCGUCUGUCUGUAUGUGUGUUUUGUUUCUUCCCGUUCGUCCGUGUGCGGCCAAGGACGGAGGAGGAGGGUCCCUGUCAGGCGCGGUGGAUGACGGGCGACGAUCGGUUAGGUCGUGCGCGCGCUCGCUUCGCGGUGGCACGUACGUACGUGUUACUUUGGAGUUUUGAUCCGUCAUUUCAUCCAGGCCGAUCGCCCGCCUUUUAUCCCUUUUUUACAGGGCUUAUCCACGCGGGAGAAUGGCUUUUCAGGCGACGGCUGGUUCGGUUCGCUUCUGCAAUCAUUAGCUCCGGAUAACAUGGCUGCGGUUUUUCUACCCUGAGCUCGACACGUCCGACGUCUACUCCUACUAGGAUAGGAGAUGCCACGUUUAUGCGGCUAGCUGUACGUACGUGAGCCGAGCACCAACUCCUGCUCUGUUCCUGCUAUCUCAUGCUCCGAAUGAUGCCCAGCGUAAGCGUCAGUGCCUUGCUAGUGCUGCCACUCUCCUGUGCCGCCAGUUACACAUUGUUGACGUAUAAAUGUAUUGCAUAGUUUUUUUUAUAUCAAAUCGGUCUUUGAUUGCAUUGACUAAAGCAUGCACUUCUACAUCGUAUCAGAGUCAAAAGGUCUUAAGUUCAAGACCCAGCUGGCUGUAACUAUUUUCGGUCCAUGUUUAGGCCUGAGAGCAUGCACUUCUACACACACAGAGAACAGCUGCUGAUUGAAAGACGGAAGGGAUGUCAUCAGGUGGCAUUUCCCCCUUCAUAAUAGUAUAUUCUUCUGUGAUAAAGCCCGCCAACUGAGGUGAAGCCCAGUCAGUUGGGCCGAGGCCGACCCCAGAUCAUCAUCAAAAGCAAAAGAAUACAAAUGGGGACUGCACAUACGCCUUGUGAGCUGUGAUCACGCCAUUAGACAUUACUACUAGUUCAGCUCACGAUAAACCACUUGCAUGAUGAUAACCCGUACAUAAUAUAUACUUACAAAGAUUACCAAUUCAUAAUGUACAUGGCUUAGCAAAUAGUACGUACUACUACUGAGAUUCUCCGUUAGGGCAUCCACCCAUUGAAACUACCACCAAUACUACCCAGUUCUGACUUGCUGCUACUACUGCUAGUACGUGCAUACGAUUGCCCCGCAAUCCCGGUUGAUUAAUUAAUUAAUUAACAUUGAUUGAGCAUAGUAAACUACCACUAGCACUGUUCUUUCACCCCCUCUAUCCGGAUCAGCUGAACUGAUCGUACACCCCUCCGAGGUAGCCGCCGGCCGCCAGGUCCAUCAUGUAGUUGGUGUAGGCGUACUCGCUCAUGUAGGUCAGGUCGGUCUCCACCUCCUCCAUCCCGAACUGCUGCCCCCCUACCAUUGCCGUCACCGUCGAGAACGACGAAGAGCUCGGGCUGCUGCCACCCCCGCCGCCCGUUGCCGCCGCCGACGCCGCCAUGGCCUUGUUUUUCUCCUCCUCCGUCUCCGCCAACCUCUCCUUGAGCCUCAGCAGCUGCAUCCAUAUAUACAUGCACAUGUUAGUUCAGCACAAACCAGCUAGCUAGCUACGUAUAGUACCCAAGAGUUCUGUCAUUUAUGUGUGUGAAGUGUGAACUGCAGCUAGCUGCAUGGCGUGAGUAAAGACAAGAGACUAGCCAGUCGGACUGUUGCGCUGUACCUCGGCCUCGAGGCGGCAGUUGUGGACGACGACGGCGUCGUGGGCCGCGCGGAGCUUGGAGAACUCCUCCUCGAUGAGUUUGCUCUUGUAGCGGGCGCGGCGGUUCUGGAACCACACGGCGACCUGCUUGGUGUCCAGUCCCAGCUCCGCGGCGAGCUGCACCUUGCGCGGCGUCUCCAGCUUCCGCUCCUUCCUGAAGUUCAUCUCCAGGAACUGCGCCUGCUCGUCGCUCAGCCUUCGCUUCUUCGCCGCGUCGUCCCCUCCGCCCUCACCACUCGCUGCCUGCCUCGCCCUCCGCCUCCGCCGCUGCCGGCCGGCCUUCUUCUGCUCUCCGCCUGCACCAUUCACUUGAGAAUCAGCAACAGCAUAUUGCGGUUGAACACUCGAUCGAGCACUUACGUGCAUAUGGAUGGUGCGCUAGCUAAAUCAACGACGACAUGGAUGAUUAAACUUACCGGAGACGACCGGUGUGGCGUCGUCCGCCGGGAAGCUGUCCGGGAAGACGAAGGAAGGGAACAGGAGCCUCUCUCCCUCCUCGGAGCUCAUCUUUCCAGCAAAUCAAAGCUAACAGCAACACGAGAAUACUUCUCUCUCUAGCUAGUGCCCGAUCAACAAAUACUAGUAUAUUUGAUCGGCUCUGAUCGAUGCUUUGGGCUUUGGGGUUGGGAUAUUUUGAGGGGCGAGAGCAGAUGCUGUGUUGUCCAGUGACCGGUGUCCGAGUCUGUGAGCCUGGAGCUCGGCCGGGGGAAUUUAUAGAGGGAGAAGCGAGGGCUGAGGAGAGAGGGGCGUAGUACUGGCACUAGGAGUGGUAGAUAGGAGUUGGGGCUUAAUAAUUCGUCGUGUGGGGAGCCACGGGAAAGCGAUGCUGCGUGUGUCGCGCUGUGGAUUGGUCAUCAUCUGCCGGUAAUAGUGAUCGAUAAUCAGAGUAAUCGUGUGCUAGUUUUAGAUAAUGGAAAAUGAAACGGGAGCAGGGUAAAAGCGACCGAGGGAGUGAGCUUGAGUGACAUGCUUACUACGCACUGUAAAUCAUCUCCAAUAGAGGCGCUAAAUUUUUUUGCGGCAUCGAAAUAGGGUUUUAACGCACGAGGAUGAGUGCUUUUUCAGGCGCUGCAAAAUUUAGCGUGCCGCUGUAGCGCUUCACCAGAUGCAGUAAAAUUCAGCGCGCGCCCAGCCGCCGCUUGGAAAAAAUAUGAAACGACACAUACGGAAACAUUUACAGUUCAAAUUUAUAGCAUAGUUCAAGCCCCAAACCACAAGCAAGUUCAUACGAUGCUAAAUAAAACUAGAUGAAACGAUGCUAGACUACUUCCCGUCUUUCUCGGUGGUGUAGUCCGACAACGUAAAUGCAUCGAGUCACCGAGGAUCUUCAUCGUCCCAUGUCGACGCAUGUCCUAGGUCGAUCUGGGCUUCUGCCAGUUCCAUCCGCGCACACUUGUCCCCCCGACGCACGGCUCGCUCCGCCCUCCUCUGCGUCCAGAACUCAUUCUCGACGGUGACAUCCUGCGGUAAGCGCUUGCGCAACACCGCCAUGGUGUGUUCGUCCACCUCGGCGAUGAGGAGGGGGCGCUCCCGCCUAUGUUGGAGGCGGCGAUCCUCGUCGCUGAUUAGUCGCGGGGGAGGUGCGAGAUCCUGCGCCAGGCGUGUCCGCACUCGAAGAAAUUCAUCUGCGGCCGAGGCCGCCCGAGGCGCCACGCCGUCGUGUCGUAUGCGCCGGCGGCCUCGUGGGCGGUGUCGAAUGUUCCGAGCCCGAGGCAUGUAUUGCCGGAGCGGAUCUCCGCGUAAUGCACGCGGAGGGGCGGAGGCAGACGCCGCGGUAGCCCGAGCUGCUCUGGGGACACGGUGGCAUGGCGAGGCGCUGGAACCGAUGGAGGAAGAAGACGCGGCGGCGCGGGGCGCUGAAAGAGGUGUGGCGGGAGAGAAGUUUCUGACGGUUGGCGGGCGCAGGGGCGCGGCUUAUAACCCAGUGGGCUGGGCGUCGCGCGACAAAACUACCGCGCGCGCGCUGUCGCUUUUUCCCGCGCCCGGGUCAAUUUAUUUCGCGCGCCAACUUUUCACGCGUCUGCUGGUGCGUGUCGCACGGCCUCUCGCGCACGAAGCUGGACGGUUUUUCCAACGCGCCAGUUGGAGAUGCUCUAAGCGGGUGCUGAUCUCCCCAGAUUAACAGCACAGUGCCGUCUUUUGGCGACAAGGACGCACGCACUACACUAGCCGGACGGCCAUCGAUGGAUGCUUGUGGCGAGAACUGUGAAAUUCCCGCGCACUUGUAACUUUUUCACCGACGCAGAUGGCCGCAACAGUAUUACAUAUUACUAGCACGUACGUGCAGCUAGUGCACACAAAAAAGAAGGCUGCUAAGCUUUGACAAGUGUGCAAUAUUACAUAUGGGCGCAUGCAUGCACGCACGCAGCCAAAGUUGAAAGUGAGUGCUAUAGCUAGGUCGGUAGGGCAUGGAUCAUGGAGCGACACAGAUGGCUCGACCGAUCAGCUACCGCCCGAGCCGAGAGUUCGGGACGCGCAAGUUACCACUACCACCCAUGGAUCGGGUCAGGUGGAGCUUUAGUUUAGCCUAGCCCAUGGGACGGGUUGUGUCUGUCGGCCUCCGGGGUCCGGCCGGGAGACGACGAGCACGCCUAGCAAGGCCAAGCUGCUUGACGUCAACCAGACCCAUGCACGCACGCACGCUCGCGCUGUACCUUUCUUCGAAAAAAGUUUGGCGCGGCUGCAUGCCAGAUAUCCAUUCCCAAGUGUGCCGUGCCACACGCUUUGUUUCAUAUCGCGCAUAAAGUAUGCCUGUACGUGUGGAUAGGGCGAUCGAGCAGCCGACGAUCCAUCCAGCGACCAUGUGAAACAUCCUCCCGAUCGACCGCUGAGUGAUUUGACCGGCCAGCGCGUGCGUACGUACGUACGCGUGUUGGCGUGGAAGACGGGUGCAUCGUCCGUCAGCGGCCAGGAGGUUCCUUCCUUACGGCCUCUUCUUUCUUCUGUAUAUCUAGUAAGUAUAGUUUACCCCUACCCCUUGCGGCGCAUCGAUCUGUCCACCUCUGGCGUGCGACGACGACCCGUAAAGCUUGUGUGAACAGUGUGCCUUUUGGGCGACACGACGGAUCGAUGGAUGGGUGGCGCGUCCUAGCUAGGCAAGGGACUCGAUCAAUGGCGGCUACAUUUUUUGGCAAAUAUAUCUCGCAGCAUUUGCGUGCUCGUGUACCUGCCCUUGCUAAAAGAGUGGCAUGGCCAAUGGCCGGUUGGCAGCUCGGCACGCAGGUGUUCCACUGCUCCAAGGAACGCAAGCACUCGUGCUGCAUGCAUAGCCGAAAAUUAAUGAACAAUAGUACAAUUACAACACGCGGUAGUACUGUUUUUUAUCCAAAUAUCCAUGCAUGCAUGCGGGCGUGCAUGGUCAAACACUAUCAAUGGAGAAACUUUACAACUACGGUGCUCUGCAGUCUGCACGAGUACAGACCUAACGACCAAGCUGGGAGAAGAAGAAAAAUACGAAAUGGAAGGACAAACUAAUUAAGUCGCCCUUGAUCAGCCGUCGUCUUCAAACAGAGAGCUCGAUAUCAGAAACUGUCCUCCAAAAGGCCGCUCUAGGUUAUUAAGAAGUUAGGCGCGUACGUACGUGUUACGUGCAUCGCCUAGCUAUAUUGCCCCUAUGCAUGGCUAGCUUAUCAUUUGAUUUCGUUUUCAGUCGUACGUCUCCCGCUUGCUUUCGUCUUGGAAAAUGUUGGCUCCUCCCUUCCAAGUUACUGCUGCGUCCAUACCCCACGCGACUGCUUGUGCUAUGUACGUGUUGGCGUUCCAUAGGCACCCCAUCCACCGGACAAAGACAAACUGCCGUACAAAGUCCAACCACACGAUGUUGCAAACUCGAGUACGUUAUCACAUGACCAGUACAAUUUCCCUAUGAAAAUAAACAACUGCAUUAGUCAUGUGUUGAUUAAUUAACUCGCCACACACAAUUUCUUGUUUGGCAUUUUUUUAAACACAAUACAUGAACGCCCAUCCCUAUAAAUACAUCCACACAACCCUAUCCCCGUAGGCAUCUUCAAGAGAUCGAGCCGGCAGAUCUCGAGAUUGCAAAGUCGCUACAUGCAUCUCGUAGUCGACGGGCACACCAUACCACCGAGAAAAUAGCGACAAAGAGACUGAAAAAAUCUAGGAAAUAUACAAACAUCCAUGUCAAGUUUAGAACGUGAACCCAAGUGGCCUGGUUUCACCACAAGGUACAUAACCAUCUAAGCUAGGCUUAUUUCACAUUUACUGUUUAGUAAUUGCAUGUAUUAAUUAUUCCUACUCCUACUAUCCUACAUGUUCAUACAAAUUUUAGCACUUACUUGACACGACUUACCACCGUACUAGUUCAAUGUUAUGAUAUGGAUCCCCCGGAGGAUCUAAGCAAUGAUAAGUUAUAUAUAAAGAUAAUUAUCUUUUUGCACUAUCAAAAUUAUGAAACACUUGGUGGACAACCACUUAAAAACUUCCAAAAAAUGCAGUUAUUUGAACUAACCAUCGGAUUUCAAUCCUACGGCUCCUUCGUUAUUCUUCAACCUAGCCACAACCAUCCACCCUCCUGACCAACCUAACAAGAUGCCACGUCGUUCAUGAAUGCCCCAUUACCGCGUCAUGUCACCACGACACCGUCACCCAACUGCCACCCAUCGUCACACCGACCAUCCCUCUAAUCCUACCACGUCUCUAAAAUCUUCUCUGGCAUCGCGAACCUCCCCCUCCCCCACCCCAAACCCAUGAAACUUCCUCCGCUCCACAUCGUCAUCGUCUCCCGCUUGAUGAGCCUGAAUCAUGAACUAGUCGCACGGUCUACAAACCAACCUAGAAGUUCAUGAUUUUGCAAUCACCUAUUGUUCUCAGGAGUUUGGAAGCUUUAAUUUUCAUAUAUAGAUAACUUCUCAUGUGCACCAAUUCGAAAAUAAAAACCGGACAUGCACUAGUGGUAUUGAGGCAAUACUUUGCUGGUCUUUUUUUACCAACUUUGUGCGGUAUAGACUUUUACCUUUGCUGUCACUGUGAACCAUUUUCUUUUCUUCGAAAAGGGGCGCUUUAUCACUGUGAACCAUGGUGAAAAAAGCUAGUUGUCGCAUUUGAUGAUUUGAUGUUCCCUUUAGAAAUUGGCCUGAGUGCGGAUCAGUUUAGUCAGCUAGCUUUGAAGUAGUGACCAGUAUUAAUUCCUUUUUGGCCGAGUGACGGAUUUGGACGUGGCUGAGACAUAUAUUCGCGGCCGGCGUGCGAGCACAGGAGGCGCCAAGGGUGUGUGUGGCCUGGUAGCGUGCGUGACAACGACCUGAGAGAGUGAGAGGAUGGCGAUAUAUUGCACAUCGAUCCAUCGGAGAAUUGUUUCCUUCCCCACAUGAAAGGUGCAUGCACACGGAUGUCGCAAGUUCCAAACGAUUGCUGUGACUUGUCACUUGUGUGAGAAUACAUGUUGGUUUUGCAGAGGAAAUGCCUCACAAUCCAUGAUUUUGAUGCUAGCAGCUAGCCCAUGGAUGUCAAGUCGAAUAGGUCGAUUUCGCUUUCAUUCGCAGGUCAGCUCUACCCUGAUAAAAAAAAUUGUAAGAUUUCCACCUUUUUUCUCUCUCUCGUUUCAAAGUCAAAAAUUAAGAACGUGUAGAAUUUAUGUGCACUCAUCAUCAAAAAAUAAAAUAAAAACAGUACACGUAAAAACAGGGUUGACAUCAAACGGGCCCGGAUCGAUCGGCGAGUGUCUGCUGAUGGCAUAAGACUAGCACUCGAACGUCAGUUAAUUUACUCUAUCAAAUCAAGAUCUGGUCUGGCGCGGCCCCAAUUCCGCGCGUGGCGCCAUCUGAGGAACAGCAAGAUUCGACGUCCGUCUUGGAAACGGAAAUCCCCCCUGCACGAUUAAUCAACACCGUGUCCAAGUGAUACGUACGACCAGCUGCAUGCUUGUGUACGCGUGACCCACGUACAUAUAGAGACGAACAGGGGACGCACGGGCAGUGAACACGACUGGCGAGAGUGACGACAGCCUCACUCACUCGCCACCAUGAGAGAAGAGAAGAGAGGAGACACAAGGACGACGUGGGGGGCCGCCGGAACCCGAUCGAGCGAGGAACUACUGGUAAAGACUAGGAGUAGAUAAGAAAGGCAGCGCGCAAUUGGCCAAAGUGGACACUGGCUGUGGGUCGCCAUCGGUGGCACAUGGGACGCGGCCCCGGCGUCGCCCGGGGCCGUGCGCGGGGGGGGGCUCGCCGUGCCGCCACGCGUCGGCCGCUGCGGCGCGUCCGGCCGCCCCCCUCCCCCUCCAAAUCUCCUGUUGGCGCACCAUCGGAGGCGCAGGGGCCGGCGCAGUCCCGUCCCGGCCUUUCCGACGAGAGCGACGUCUCCUCUCUCUCUCUCUCUCUCUCGCUCGCUCGCUCUGGCGGACUGACGCAUCCUAUCCACGCCAAUGGAUGGUGAGCGCCCAGCGCGCGCGCGCACAGGACAUGCCGCGUGCGUGGCCAGUCAGUCCCACUCCUAGCUACAGCUGCUUGCCCUGCGCGCACUAGCCAGGGGCCGGCCGACCAACCCAGACAAAAGCCGGCCGGUCCAGCGCGCAGGGCAGCUCUCGCCGCCUGCCCCCGUGCCGCCACGCCGCGCGUCCAUGCGUGUGCGCUGCAUCUGGCCCUGCCGCUCGCGCGCGCGCGGCCUGCAAACGAAAUGCAGCCUGGACCGCCGGGCGCAUCAAUCGCACAAAGCCGCCGCCGGCGGUCGUACGUACGCAGCGCAGCCAAGUGCACCAGAUGUCAGCGCCCUAGCAUACGCAGCAGUCGCGUGGAAUGGGGGUCCGGUUCCAGCUCCAGCCACAGCACCCGUUUCCGUUUGUGUUGCUUUGCGGUCGCUGCUCGUCGCUGUCGCUGGCUCGAGACGUGUCACCCGUUCCCUCUCAUCGCCAUCCAUCGCGGCUAGCUAAUCCCAAGUCCACAGGAGAUGGACAGAAACCUUUGCUCGACUCGGCUAGCUCAUCGCUUUCGCAAGGUGCGCACGCACACACACGCACGCACGCAUCGCGCAUCGCAUGAGUGAAUCGCACGACGGAUCACCGUGCAUUUUUGCCUUUAUUACCGUCGUCGUUUUGCCUUUCUAUUUCACGGAAACAACAACAAGUGACCAAAGUAGCUGCAUGGCAUGACUAGCUAUCCCCUGUAGGGGGUUGCUAUACCUAUACGUGUACAUAUUUUUUUUCGCGAAAACACAUGUACAUAUAUGGUCAGGCGGUCCCAAAGCUGCAUAUCAGCGAUGAAGCCGUGCCGAGCUCGGAUAAGAAGGUGAUCCGUUAUUUUUUUCUUCGGCUGUGGUCAUCGACGGAGUUNNNNNNNNNNNNNNNNNNNNNNNNNNNNNNNNNNNNNNNNNNNNNNNNNNNNNNNNNNNNNNNNNNNNNNNNNNNNNNNNNNNNNNNNNNNNNNNNNNNNNNNNNNNNNNNNNNNNNNNNNNNNNNNNNNNNNNNNNNNNNNNNNNNNNNNNNNNNNNNNNNNNNNNNNNNNNNNNNNNNNNNNNNNNNNNNNNNNNNNNNNNNNNNNNNNNNNNNNNNNNNNNNNNNNNNNNNNNNNNNNNNNNNNNNNNNNNNNNNNNNNNNNNNNNNNNNNNNNNNNNNNNNNNNNNNNNNNNNNNNNNNNNNNNNNNNNNNNNNNNNNNNNNNNNNNNNNNNNNNNNNNNNNNNNNNNNNNNNNNNNNNNNNNAAUCAUAUUUACUGAUUAGCCCCCUCCGCCGUUCUCUGCUAGCUUCGCCGCGGGUUGUGGUGGUGCCGGGGGCAAAUGACGGGCGUUUAUGCCAAGCUCAGAGAUGUUUUACUAUUUUUUCAGUUUUCUCAUAUAUGUUGUUACAUGAUUUAUAUAUUGAUCUUUAUAAUAUGAAUGAGACACAUAUUAUUACCAUACGAAAAGAAAAUAUAUGAUUAGGCACACCUGGGUCCUCCUAGACUCCUAGAGAAGACAAUUCAAAAGAGCGCGGGGCGGGAGAGAGUGGUCAAGUCGAUCGAUCUACCGUAGCUUGUAGGUACGUCUAGAUAUAGGUCGAGCUGUCACGUAUACAUGUGCCGAUAGCAUGGGUGCAUAACUAAUUGCUGCGGGGAAUAUGAGCAGUACACUUUCACUUGUCUUCUAUAUAUCCGUCAGCUGUCGAACGGACCGCGGUACUACGUAGCAGUUGAUGGCCUUCACUUUAGGGUCCUUGGUUGAUUGCCUUGACUUGGACUAUUCAAUGAGUGUUUUUUACAGUCUACUAUAGUAUAUUCAACUUCUAGUGAUUGCCUACGUUUAUUUUUCGGUUUUCCUAAUUUUCUGUCUUGUGAGUUUUUUUGUGUGUGAAAACAGUGAGUUUCUUUUUUACAAGUACAACUUUUGUUUAGUGAAACCUUUUCAUAUAGCUGCAUUUCUUAAUUCUUAAAGGGUGCAUGUUGCCUAUUUUACUAAGCCGAAUUUAUAUUUUUUUCAUAGUCGAUUUAGACACAAAAAUAAAAAUAAUCAACUUAAAAAUGUACAUUUUUUUAAGGGAGACUUUCUUGGUGGUAAAUUUCUCCGCAGAGUUAAGCAUGAAUAUACAUGCUGGUAAGAAAUCAUUGGAGGUACUCCCUCUAUUUGUGAAAAGAAGGCCAGUAAAAUUUGUCUGAAGUUAAACAAUGCAAAAUUUGACCGAGUUUCUAAGAAAACUAUCAAGAACUACAGACCAAAUGUAAUAUCAUUACAUACGCAAUAAAACAUAUCUAUAUUGAUCUAGUCGGUAUUGUAUAGUUGUUGAUGAUUUUUCCUACAUCACAUGGUCAAACUAUGGACCGUUUGAGGUCAGUAAAAUUUAUAGACCUUUUUUGUAGACGGAGGGGAUAAUUAAGAUUCACUGUAAUCAUCGGUACUAGUAGCAACUAAGGUGCACGACUAAUACCUUGCGCAAAAGCCUAAAGGAGGCACGAGGCGUGCGAGAAAGUAUUGGCAGCGCUCAAAAGUAAGAUGUACGUAGCACGCAGCACCCGCGGCUAAGCUUAAACUCUUACGUACGAGCGAAGAAUCGUUAUACUAUUCAAUUUCAAUCAAAAAAGAAGAGAAAAAUGGUCAUAUGCGCUUUCCAAUCCGGUAGGACGGUCGACACGCAUUGAGAAGAGAGAGGUUGAUUGACGCCACACCGGUAUAGUCCAAAUCUAGCCCGCCCUUUUACGUCCACAAUCAGAUGAAGAUCACUUAGCUAAUCAGAGCGUGCAUGGCUCGCACAUGUGUCUGCGCUUUGGGCAAAUCACCUCCGAGCCUGAGAGCAAAGCCCAAUUAGCCGUCACGUGGCUCGUACUACGAUCGGGAUAAGGUUUGGACCUGCGCGCGCCGGCCUGGUCGACUGCCCAAAGGUGGCGUACGAUUCGUCGGCGUUUCACGUGCAGCCACCCCCCAUAGUUGCCAACCUCGCUCCACGUCGACCGCCCACCGGCCAAUCAAUCAGGCCACCCCCGUGGUUUGGACGCCAGACAAGGAUCACCGAUGUGGUCGACCACACCAGUGCUGAUUGAUUAGCUUUGCUUAGGGCACGGUUAUUUCCUCCACAAGCUUCACUUAGCUUACACAGUAGCCAGCUUUGGACUUUUCAUUUUGCACCUCACACUAAAGCCACAAAGUCUAGCUACCUUCAACAGCUUUCAAUUUUACUCCCUUCGUCCGAAAAUAAUUGUCCUAGAAAUGAAUAAAAUAGAUUUAUUUAUAACUAAAAUAAGUCGAGAUACAUUCAUUUUAGAGACAAGUAUUUUAGGACGAAGGAAAUAUUUGCAAAACUAAAGCCUUCCAUUAUCCAAAAUCGACAUGUUUGAGGGGUGUGUGUGUGUAUGAACAAAAACCUGAGAGCUCUGUCGACGCACCGGCCGUUUGGAAUUGGAUGCUAAACUAGUAAUGCGGGGCGGCCAGUGAUUCCUUGUCACAUGCCUAUGGCUACGGCUAUGCCCUCGUACUUUGGCUCCCCUUUGGCAUCACGCACACCACGCAGAAUCGCUCAAUUAUGCACUUAACUAAUCAAGGUUGGUACUACUCCAUUGGCUAGCCAGAGCUGGCUCUAGCUUUGGGCUUAAACUAUGCGCUGCCACUGCCAUCCUUAUCUCAGACACCUCCCGCUCCUGUUUCCCCAUCUCCAACUUGCGGGAUCCCGACGCCAUAUGUUAAUCAGCCCGCUGAUCACUCACUAACAACACCCCUAAUCAAAUCGAGCGAGGAUUACAUUACACCAUGGUGACCACCCAAACCUAAUCUCCUCGGGCCACGGCUAGCUCUGACACAGGCUCGCCUACCUCGCCUAAUCUAACCACGCUUUCCGGUCGAACAAGCGGUCAAGGCUCAACCUCGUCGCAAUUUGCAGCAAAAGCUUUGCUAGGGCUAGGCCUUAGUAGGCGCUUUGACGAAAUCAAAUCCAUUUUACGAUUUGAUUGGGCAGCCGUCUCCUGGCGUGCAUGUGCACGCCGAACGGGGCAGCAGGCAGCAGCGACGUAGGGUACGCACACUCUUGGCCCUCCUCGAGGGGCGCGCGCGUGACAGUGCGGGCUUGAUACGGCCGAUCUCCCCCGUGGCCUUUUGCGCGAUAGCGCCACUAAUCGCCAGGGUUAUUUUAAAAGGCCUCCUCGCUUAGGUUAGUAUAGCUAGCCGGUCGCUGCCCUCGUCGUUUCCUCGCGCGUGCAGCUAGCUAAUUUCGCGCCAAGCUUUGCCAUCCAUGACCGACCGACCGAUCGCCGUCGAGUCAGUCAAUGUGUCUUCCCCAAGCUUGGUCAAUUGGUCAGGACAAGGCACGCCGCUGUCACAGUAGGUGGUUAAUUAUUACCGCGCCAAAAAAACCUAUUGUAUAUCUCUGCAAGCGCCAGAAGACUAGCUAGUUAGCCGAAUCCGAAUUCCGAAAUAUCGAAAUAUGUAUGUACUGGUACGUCUCUCUGUGUCCGCCGUAACAUGUCUUUUUGUCCAUAGCUGCAGUUUUGAGAUCAGUACUCCACAGAGGGAGACAACGUACGUUUCAACUUGUGAGAGGCCCUCCACCCCCGGCUCCACCUAGGGCGCGACACAUGUGUGCGUAAUUAACCUCGGUACUAGUAGAAGCGGAGGAGCGCGGCAUCGCGGCAACAGGUGUAAACUCGAUGCUUUGUUUCUCUACUGACAGCAGCGCUAAUGCCAAGUUUAACCGGAAUCAUGGCCGGCCAUCUUGCGUGCAUGCUUUCCCAUAAAAGGCGCCACAUUUUAGGGGAGCGCGCGCGGCAUCGAUCCAUCCAUUGGACGGCAAGCGCUCGAAGCUUCACCCCCAAGGCUGGCAGUGGCAGCUAGACUAGAACCAGCACACAUGGCAUGCUUCGGCCCAUGAUAUAGUUUGUUAGGAUUGUGCUCUCUCCUUUUCUCCUCCCUUAACCUAAUGUCUAGAGUGCAGUAAACUAAUCCCAGUUGCAUGAUAGUAAAGCUUAAGCACCAACCAAUGAAUCGGGCAAAGGAUGAGGCUAGCCCGCUCCUAGGUAGGGGACCAGCGCGCCGGGAAACAUCCGGACAAAGCCUCAUUAGCGCUAAUUAAACAAUCACGUUAGCUUUGUGGAGCUCAGCUUCGGCCACACCACAAGCGCUCCUCUGUCAUUGCGUGUCAAUGGCAUGGGCUCGUGUUUGCCGACCUGGCCCCUCCGAAGAGCGACACGUGCACCGGAAGGCGCACCGCCCGUGUGAGCGGAGGGAGCGACCCCGGCGCACGCACACCGAGGAUGCCGCCCUCGAGGAGUGUGGUACACAUUUCUUUUGGCAAAAUGAUUUGAUUCCAAUGUUUAAGUAGUGCCCCCAAGUGUAGGGUUAAAGAAAGGGGUUAUGUGCGAGAGAGGUUUAAGGAAGGUGAUCACGGCCACGGCGAGGCGAAACGUGGCCAUCGUGCCGUGAUUAGUUUAGGGAGGGACGUGUUUCUUAGUCACUCUAGUUGCCUAAUUAACAACAACUUGAUGAAUGGAUGGAUGAAAGGUGGUGGAACUUUCUUGUUGGUACGGUUAGCUUGUUUGUUUAGGGGUUCAUUUCUCUAGGGAACAAACUUUAUCUUGUGAUUUUGCCAUACAAGGCAAGUGUGUGACAUAAGGGCUGACGAAUGCAUCGUUGCCAUGUCGACGCAACAAUAAGCUCAUACGCUACAUUUAGGAGUCAAAAGAACAACCAUAGAAAUGGAUAAUUGUCAUCAUCGUUUGCGCACAGAUACGGGUGCAAAUAGUCAGAAAACCACACCACACUGCUUACUGUAUGAUGUGUGAUGUAUGUUGUGUGUAGUAUAUAUACAUGCAUGAUGGCCAACCGAUUUUACACUCCACAAUACAGAUGCUUUACAUGCAAUUAAGAAAGCAAACCACACCUUGACCAUGCACCAUGUCUCACCAUUUUGUACAAUCUAUAAUGUACUCACACUACAAGUGACCUGACACCAGUCACACCACAAAAUGCACUGCCAAACCAACUGCCAUGUCUGACGGAAGGUAAACACAAGAUGAGCAAGUUCAGAGACCUAACUACACCUCGCUGAUCUCUGAAUCCUCUGAAGCGGGAGACCCCAAUCUUAUAUCGGCUCUCAUGUUCUCCUCGGCGGCCUUGGGCUGGCUGCCAGCCUGAUCAAACCUGAAGCAGCACCGUAGGUGGUCGUUCACGAUGCCGGCGACCUGCAUGAAGGAGUAGACCGUCGUGGGGCCGACGCACUGGAACCCUCGCCGCAUCAGGUCCUUGCUCAUAGCCUCAGAUUUGGGCGUCUUGGUGGGCACUUGGCGAGCGUAGCGGAAGCCGUUUGUGAUGGGCCUGUGGUUCACGAAGCUCCAGCAGUAGUUGUCGAACGAUCCGAAUUCACGAACUACCUGCAGAUAGUCAUUGGCGAUAGCGAGGAUAUUAUUGGUACGCCAGAAGUUGUGAAACCCAAGGGUCGAUUUUGUUCGAAGAAACCACUGAAUCUGUUUUGCCAAACGGAUACUAUACAGGUUGCAAAAUAGUGGUAUAAUUCAUGAGUAGCAUUAGUCCAAGUAUCCAAGCAAGAAAUGAUAAGUAUAGCAUAUAGUGGUGGUGGUGUUCGAGUUAUAAGCAUUCGGUUUGAGAACAGUUCGAACAGUUGUGUACUUCUGAAAAGCAAUUGAUGACUGUAUAUUACAGUACGAUACUAAUACUGAUGCGAGUGUCACAUUGUUCGAGUUAUAAGCAUUCGGUUUGAGAACAGUUCGAACAGUUGUGUACUUCUGAAAAGCAAUUGAUGACUGUAUAUUACAGUACGAUACUAAUACUGAUGCGAGUGUCACAUUGUGCAGAAUCUGAAACUCUGAAAGCACACAAGGUAUGGGCCAUAUGGCCCAUAGCAAAUUCAAAGGCUUGUUGGGCUUUUAUUGAGUGGGUGCGACAUGGCUUCAUUUUAUUUCGAAAGAAGCUAGUCUGCUGUAACAUUUUAGGGCUUCUUUGAUUCAAAGGAUUCCAAGGAAUUUUUUGGAGGAUUGAAAUCCUUAGGAAUAUUUACUACGUGUGUUGUUUGAUUCAUAGGAUUGUAAACCACGGGAAUUUUUUCAGAGGAUUUAUUUGCACUAGAUUUCAUAGGAAAUUUUUCAUCCUCUCAAACAUCUUUAAGAGAAUCCUAUGUUUUUCCUAUGCACAAUCAAACACUCAUACAAUCCUAUAGGAUUCAAAAUGACAUGCCACUCUAAUCCCACGUUUUGGAAAUCCUAUGAAUCAAAGAGGCCCUUAUGAUUGGUUGGAGGAAUGAAAAUGAUAAUGAUUUAUAUGUCCUCAUUCAGCGAUAAAUUAGAGGAAAUUUUGUAAAUAUUCAUUUUACCAUUUGAAUUCACCAUAAACAAAACUUGCCUUUUGAAUUUGCUUGGCGUUUGCAGCCACAGCUCGCAUCUUUUGCUGUGACAACAACGUGCUUCCGUUUGAUUUGGACAGCUGGUUUAUCUUCUUGUCCGUGCAGCCACACACGGAUGCAUUGUAGAAACCAUCAAUCAUCUCCCUGAACUCAUCCCUCUUGCUCAAAAUUACAGGCCAGGAGAGCUCAGCUAAGGCUUGUGAUAAGGUGAGCAGCUCAAACAACUUACGGUCAUCGUGCACCGGUGCUCCCCAUUCUUCAUCAUGGAAUGCAACGUAGAGGGGUUCUACAGAAGUUAUGUACCAUGCAUCAUCAGAAGUUAUAUGUGUAAGUUUCAAAAAAAGAAGAAGUUAUAUGUGUACUGCACCCUCAUGGCGUGCGUGCUCAAAAUUGAGAAAUCACAUGCUUGUGAUAACUGAUAAAGUAUAUACUUCAUAUCAUGGAGUUCACAGAUCAAAAUUACGGACUCUAGGGAACAGUGGAAACGUAACGAAACGAAGCAGGGAGCAAUCGAAGUUUGUCACCAGAGUUGGCCGUGAUCCAGGAGCACCUCCUCUUCUCCAGCUCCGGUGAGCUCCCACACGCCCCCCUACCACCAUUGUGCCGCUUCUCCUCUGCUUCCGCCUUUGUGCUUGCCCGCGCCUUGGCUCUUGCUGCCUUGGAAUAGGCCGCAGCAGGGCGAGUGGUGCGGAUGCGCGGGAGCGCCGGCAAGCCGCUCGCCGGAGACUCCGACUUGACGCCCGGCAUGUCUGAAGUGCCAACUGAUCGACGGAGCUUGCAACGAUUCGGAAGCAGGCGCAUGUAGAUGGACGCAGACCUGAAGAGCGAGCGGCUAAUGAGGGUUUGAAACGAGCGGCGAAAUGACGACGGAUCCGUUACGCGGCCACGGAGUUGGUACGGGUGCGGGUGCAACGGCCUCGGCACGAACGAGGGUGGCCGUGGCUUGGCCCCGACGCCUCGUACCGUUACGCGCAAGCGUUGCGUUGCCAUGCACCGCCCCACUACCCACACGCACACCCACACACGUAGCCGGACCUCACCUCCCUGUCGUUUCCACCAUCCGGCUUGCGCGCAGCGCACGUCCGCACCGAGCCGGCUCCUACGUGGUUCUCGUCGGCAGCAGCGACAACGGCUUCUUCUACUCGAAGAGGGAAUACGCAUUCUGUACAAGGAAACGGAGAAGAGUGUACACACAACACAAGGAUGCGGGCACAAGCAUUGGUCCCAGUAUCUUUCAGCACCAGGGAAUCGUUUUGCUCCAAGAGGAUGAACAAUCUACAUCCAAAUGUUCCCUUCAAGAAUGGACCAGGGUUCAUGUUAGAUCGACAGACCAGUCACUAAGACCUUGAGCACAAUUCAAGUUUUUGGUGGCAACUUUUGAUCACUGCAGCAGGGAACAGAAGCAGCAGCGGGAUACAGUUCUGUGGUGAACGGCACUGUAAUGUGGAUCGUCCUUCAGUCAAGCUUAGAGACUAGUUCAAAUCGAACCUACCAACUUUUGACAAAACUGCACCUCGUUAGUUGCCAACUUGCCAUUCCGUACCAACUAGUGGUAAGUGGUAACCAGUGUCCAAAAUGCAGUGUAGCGCUAUGCGAAAUCCAGCAGCAGGUGUUCAUCACCACCUGAAGAAGCAACAAGGCAUGAUACGGUCAGUUAGUAAUAAGAGAGUCUAAACACAGCAGUGUAAAAUGCGAGGCAUGACUGGGAAUUAUAAGAGAACCGAAAGAAAUUAGCUAUUUACAGAAAACACACGAGACAUAAUGCUACAAGACAAAAGCAUUACAUCGAUACAGCAAUUGUUCAACUGUGCAUACCAUGCUCUUGUCUAGUAGUAUCAAUUUACUUCUUUGAAAAGUACAUUGAAUCCUGGAAAUGGAGCGGCUCGUUUCCCCACGAGGUCCAUCCGGAACCCAAUUCUCUUGCAAAAAGCUCUAUGCACCUUGGAGGCUUCGGACCAGGAAUAUAUUCUGAAAGAAUUUCUUUUGCAGGUUAAGGAUUGGCCAUAAAUCAUACUGCCACUAUAAAAAGAGCUGCAUUGCAUUUACGACAGGACAGAUGCGAAAAAGGGCUUCCCCCCGCUUUAGAUUAUAAAGCAACGUUCAACCGAUACAACCAGCUUGCUGGGGCCGCAGUACAAACAAGCCCAAAAGAAAAAGAAGAGAAAGAAACAAGAAGAAACAAAUGCCGACGCCGGCAGCUCAACUAAGCAAAGAUGACCGACACCCGCUGCACCCACCGGAGAAGAACCACCGCCCGCCAAGCACUCCGAAGCCUUGCGUACCAAGCAACAUCUUCAUGAAGAAAUGCGACGACAACGCCGCUGCUGCCCGGACAAGUCCUAGGGUUUCCCCCGAUACGCGGAUGGCAGUGGGGAAGGGGGUAUCACCGACGCCCCUCAGGAGGGUCCCGCAAGGCCCACGGGCGCAGCCGCGCUGGUGGCGAACGAGCCGCCAGAGAUUUCUCCCGCCCCGAAACCACCACCGCCACCUCAGACAAUCGGAAGCGCACCGCCCAACAUGCCGCCCACCAGCCUGUGCCACCACGGAUACCACACCAUUUUCACCGUUUCACUGAGGCCACCAACACAAGACCUGGAGGUAGGACGAGAAGACACCAGGCUCGAAGGCAACCGCAACGCAGCCGACAGGAGGGAACAACCUCCACCGAGACUUGCCAGGCCACCACCGGCCCGGCCGGACCCCAAUGGGUCCGGACAGUCCCUGUAGCCACGCUGCAGCACGCCGGCCGCCGGAGCCACCUCCACCGCAGCCACGGCCCCCUUGUCUCACCACCAAAGAGCCACACCGUCGCACCCCGGACCGCAAGCCCGCCCCAGCCCAGAUGGGGCCCAAAAGGGCCCAGAUCUGGGCCGAGCGGGCGCCGCCGGCCAGCCGCCCACCGCGCCGCCCCGCAGCCAACGGCCACGCCGCCGCGUCGAGGGAACCCGAGGCCCGCAAAACUCCCGCCGGGCCUCACCGCCGCCAGCCGAGCAGCACCACCGCCGGGCAGGAGGGAGCCCCGACUCCCCCUCCAGGCGCACCGGGAAGGGACGUCCACCGCCGCCGGCGCCACCCGGGCACGCCGGAGGCGGCGAAGGAAGAUGAAGGAGGAGGGGGGCCGAGACGGGGAGGAGGGCAGGGGGGCGGCGGUGGGGAGGAACCCUAGCGCGGGUCGCGGGAGCCCCUCGCUAGCCGCUCGACAGGACAGAUGCUUCAUUGCAGAUGAUUAACUAAAAGAUAAACAGGACAUAAUGUGACAAAUCACAGGCAAGGAUACUCUGAAGAGGAGGUUUCCUUGAGUGUGCACCCGGAACACUCAUAAUUACUUGGCUGCCUUGUAGAACCUUAAACUUCGAUCCUGACUCAGCUUCUCUAUUCUGCCAGGAAGAAAGCCAGGAGACCAGAAUAUAUCAAUUUCAGGGUACACAGUCCAGAUCAAACGUUGAAUUCAAGAAAAAAAAGGCAAAAUAAUCUAGAGGAAAGAACUCACAACGUUGAUGUAGCCAAGAAGGAGACACUCAUAAGGCCUGUGAUGGAACAAGUCUAGAUCGCCAAUCAGUGAACCAUCCGACUUCACCUGUGAUUUGUUGAGAUUUCAGGACCGCAUUGCACAAAAAUAAUGACACCAUUGUAAAAUUACUAAUGUGUCAAUUAAAUCAUUGUUAUAAAAGAUAAAAGGUUGCACAUGGAUAUUAGCCGCAAACCUUCAGCCAAUAAAACUCCGUGGGGUCUUUGACCCCCCAAGAUGGAAGCAAUUCUUCCUCAACAAAUCUUCGCAGUUUCUCCCGAUUUGUAAUCCACAAAACUAGAAGAGCUCCAGCUGGAUGUGCAAGUUCUUGAACUGGAAGAUACAACAAAUUUCUAUUGGGAAGUGUAGGAUACCUAGGGCAUACAUUGUUGAAAAAAUGAACUGCAAUUCAUAAAAAUGCCUAGCUGGCCAUGCACAAAUGGGAUUAUUACAUUAAAAAGAUGACAACAAUAGAGAAGAAUAGAAGAUGGAUCCGUUUUAGUCCGAGAAUAUUUAGUUUCCAUGAAACUACCAACAAGCAUAUCCCCAAAUCGGGUUUUAUUACAGGAGAACAUGAUAUCAGCACACAUGGUUCAUGGUCAGUGAAUCAUAAACAUCCGUAAAUAAUAGGACACCACAAAAUAUACAUAUAAAAGAAGGCUUCAAGAAAUAAGAAAAGCUGUAAUUAAAAAUGCAAUAUAUAGGAAUACUGCGAAAAGAAACAUGCAUUUAGGUCAGAUAUCAGAUAGCUGUUGUAACCUUUUGCUUAUCAAUAAUAUGGCCGUAUGCAUCUUUCUGAUGCAGAGGCCGGGGCAAACCCUCUUUUCGAAAAAAAAGGUCAGAUAUCAGAUAGCUGUGCUAACAUUCAAGCAUAGCAAUCCAGAGUUUAACUAGUUAAUCCAAAGUUAACAAUCCAGUGUAGUCUAAUUAAGACACGUCACAAAUAAACAAAAAAGAGAAAUACAGGAAAGUCAGCCAUCAAUAAGCCCGGACAAUCUAAAGUUUUGCUUGCUUGGCAGAAGAAGAAGAAAGAAAGAGUUAGCUUACACUUCUUUCUGGCGAACACAUCCAUUCUCCCAAGGUGGGUCAAUAACUAUAAGGUUGUACCCUAUAUUAGGAUUAUCUGGAGACAGAGGACAUCAUCCACAAAAUAAACGAAUUAAGCACAUCUGCCAAUACAACCUUAACAAGCACAGCAGGAUCAAUACAACAUAUUAAAACAUUUGUAUGCUACAUUCACAUACCAGGAAUGAGAUCACGAACAUGUGUGAAGUCAGUCUUCAGUUUAUGUAUCAUCAGCAUCAUGCCAAAAAGAUAAAAUAAAAAUUAAAGAUGGACUGUUCACUUAGAUGAAAUUAGGUGAGACACCUGCACUAAAGAAUGAUUAACUCACCAUCAUGAAGCAACUUCCUUUUGGUAAAAUAUAAAGUCUACUCUGAAAUUCUCCUUCUGCCUCAUCGUUUUCUUCAACACUGACUAUCCUAUUAAAUAAUGGACUGGAUCUCUUUUGGACAUUGCAGGUACCUAAAACAUGGUAGAGAAGGACUUUAUGCACUUAUGCAUCAUACAUACCUAUAAUUCUGUAAACAUGGUCAUCAAGAAGUACUCGUACAAUUUUUGGUUUGAUUAUACCUGCCUUGACCUGACCAAGAGGCUUCUGAAAGCAGAUAGUCAUCUCGUAGAAAGGUGCUCGCCAUGAGGCCCCAAGCUCAACAAAAUUGUUCUCAGAACUAGUUUCAACAUUUGGCAGGCAUUCAUCUCCCUUGAUCAUCCCCGGAAGGAAUUCCAGUAGAUCUUUCGUCUCGAGGAGUGAAUUAUGGGCCCUAAUUAGCAAAGGCCUUGCUUCCUAGCAAAUGGAACACCAUAAGAGAUCCAAACAUUACAUCAAAAUACCUGUAGAACACUAUUCAGUACAUUUCUCUACCAAUUGGUAUAGGCAGAUUAUGACCGUUUCACGAACACCUAACAAGACACCAGAUGUUAAUAACAUAAUACUCUCUAAAAAUCCUAAAAAAUGGCAAUCCCAAAUUUCUUGUUUGCUGAUGACGUAUUAAACUGUUUCUAGUUUACUAACGUUCUUGUUACUGAUGAGCACAAGCCUUUUCAUUGGAAUAUACUACUAUUAGAAGAAGUAAAACAUCAGUACCCCCGCAAAAGAAAAAGUAAAACAUCAGUAAAUGAGAAAACACAAAUGUAAACCAAUGUGUCAGAUCGUCACCUGGUGCCGCGCUUCUGCGAUCCGCUCCACGGCGUUGAGUUCCCGGGGCUUCGGCUGGCGCUUCCGCUUGCGCUUCUUCCGGUCGGGAGACGGCGCCGUCCCUUCGCCUCCCUGCCGCGACGGGCCGAAGCUUCGGGAGUAGUACGCCGACGGGACGAGGCGGAAGCGCCGGUAGGAUUCGCCGAGGAGGCGCACCGGGUCGACGAAGGCGGCGGGAGAGCCUGCGAGGCGGUAGAUCCCCGUGGCCUCCAGCGACCGGAGCUCGUCGGAGGCGUCCAUCGGAGAGGCGCCGCCGCGGCGAGGGGGUUUGGGUCGGGAGGGAGCGUCGGCCGCAGGGUAGGGGUUUAAUCCCAGCAGGUUAGCCCGUGGGUCCCACUGGCCAGAGAAACCAGCGGCCUGCGAACUGGUACUCGGGCAGUGUCGCCGUCCACAAAAAAAAACGGAGCGAAGCAACCAACCAACCCCCCGCGAAAUCUUCAAACCCCACCGCGACCGCCAUGCCAAUUUCGCUGCUCCUCUCCGCCCCCCUCCCCUGCCCGCCGCCGCCUCUCCUCCGCCACGGCUGCCGGCGGGUCCCGGCCCCCCUCCGCGCCGCCCACCUGCCUCCGCCGCUCCGCGUGGCCCUCGGCACCGCCCGUGGCGGCGGUGGCGGGCGGCUGCCCGUCGAGACGCGGUGCGCGCGGGCGGCCGCGGCGGUUGGGGUUUCAGGGGGAGGAAGCGAUGCUGAGAGUGGCGCUGGCACGGGGAUCACCGCGGCGGCGGCGGCCACCGUGGCGCUCGCGGUGAUGAACCGGGUGCUGUACAAGCUUGCGCUCGUGCCCAUGAAGAAUUACCCCUUCUUCCUCGCGCAAGUUCUCACGUUUGGGUAAAUUUGAUGCUUCCAUGGACAUCUAAGCUCAAUUCCAGCAAAAUUUCACACUUAGUGCUACAUGCUAUUUAUAUAUAAGAGUAAUAAUAAUAUAAUGCAUGUGUAACUUCUUUUUGCGCAUCCUUUUUGUUACACUGAUUUCUGUGAAGUCAAUGCACAAACCGAUUUUCUAAGUGCUCCUCGUGUACUUGCUAAUUUCUGCAGGUAUGUUGUAGUCUACUUCUCAAUUCUCUUUGUAAGAUAUCAGGCUGGUAUUGUCACUAAAGAAAUGCUAGCGCUUCCAAAAUCACGCUUCAUGUUAAUUGGACUGCUAGAAGCGAUGGGUGUUGCUUCAGGCAUGGCUGCUGCAGGUGAUUACUGACAGUGAUAUUUGUACUUUACUUUCAGAAUUAAGUAUUUCAAAUGCACUUUUUAACAGCUACUCCCUCCAUUCCUAAUUAGUUGACUCAGAUUUGUUCAGAUACGGAUGUAUCUAGACAUGUUUUAGUGUUAGAUAUAUUCAUAUCUAGACAAAUCUAAGACAACUAAUUUGGGACGGAGGUAAUACAUUACUUGAACCAUGGUUUCUUCACAAUUCAGAUCGUAACUAAAAUGAGUUCUGUAUUUGCAUUUUGCCGAUGCUCACAGCUAUGUUGCCUGGGCCAUCUAUUCCAGUGCUGUCUCAGGUACUAUGUUUUUAUUUCGCCUGACAGGCCUAAAAUUCUCCACAUGUUGACUUCUGAGUAUUUAAUAUCCUUUGCCAAGUAGGAACAUUCUAUUGUACUGCUUACAUCCAAUCCUGUAUUAACUUGGUGCCAUAUAUACCCCAUCUUUGUAAUAUCCUGGAUUCGUUUAUUAUUCCAAUUUUCUUAUCAUCCCUCUUAAGGUUGUUCUUCUGUUACAUAUCUCAGUCCUUUCAACACGUACUACUUUGAUAAUCUUGUUACCUGCAGUGCCAGGUUUAAUAGCUGUGCAUAAAGAUUAGUACUUCCUUUCGGUGAUUUUGUGCAGACUCGGUACUCUUAACACACUUGCUGUUGUUUUGCAGUCUUUUCUGGUAUGGCAGCUUAUUUUAUCAGUCAUCGUUUUGGGAAGGAAAUAUAGGGCAAACCAAAUUCUUGGAUGCUUGCUUGUUACAACUGGAGUAAUUCUAUCAGUAGUAAGGUAUGAAUUGGAACAUCUAGCCUUGUUUGGACGACUAAUUUAUGUACUUCACAUCACUGUUCUCAUAAUUUGAACUGAUUUGUUUCCAACUGUCUGUUAUAUCGGGCAUCACAUAUUCAUUGGCAUUGUGUAUUGGACAUGUUCGUGUAAGCUUCUGAUAAGGUGGAAUUAUCAGCUGCUAACUAUUUAUUGGAGCACCUUCAUGCACUGGAAUGGUAUAUUGUAGAAUGCUGACAAAAUAAGAUUGUUAUGUGACAUAUUUUAGGUUCCAUCCACUAAAAGAACGCAAUGUGACUAGAAUUUGUUUUGGAAAGUUAUUAGCACAAACCCAAUCAACUCAUACAAAAUUAUAGUAUUUCUUUCUGCAUUCCAACUUCUCGGUAAAAUCAAGGGCAUAAGGCUAGGACAUUUUCUGGCAGUUUUCUAACAUGUAAUUUUUCAGUGACAUGCAGCUAACACCCUCUUAUCUAUAUGUGAAGGUGCUGUGGCUGAGUACUAGCACUUGCACUUGAUUAACCCCUUCUAUUGAUUACUUAAGCAUACAUUGUAGUCAGUCAUCCAAGGCAAGUGGGGUAGAUGUGUCUUUCUGUAGCAAGGCUCACUGCUUUAGGCUCAUGUACCAGAUACUUCUGAUAACCAUAAAACCUUAUUAUAAUUGGAAUAAUACUCAAAGGAGCUUUUUGUGGUGUGAUCACCUAUAUAUGGCUUGCCUCUUGGGUGGUUUGGUAGCCUUGUGUCCUCAUCUGAUCAACCUUUCAGAUGUACAGUUAGUGGUCGAGACAAAAUGCACAAAUAAUGAACCAAAAGUUCGGAAAAAAAAGUGCGGACUGAGAAAUGGCCAUGGCUUUACGCUGAUAGGGUAGUACAUGGUUAUAAUCUUGCUAAUAUGAUGAUUGUGGAAUACUUGCAAUUUAUGUGUUGAUUGGAUUUUGAGUAUUUCCUGGCCAUGCUUUUACUUUAUGAAUGCAGUGGAGCAAACGGUGGUUCAUCUCUGUCUGAUGUCAAGUUUUUUUGGCCAGCAGUUUUGAUGGCUUCAUCUGCAUGUCAGGCUGGUGCAUCUAUAAUCAAGGUUGAGUGGACUUGCUGGUGUACCCCUGAUGAAACUUUCAGUUAUCCCAACUCUAAAUCUUGUUAUUACCGUGGCAGGAAUUUGUUUUCAUUGAUGGUGCAAAACGCCUUGAGGUUCGUAAUAAAAAUAUUUCAGGAAAUAAUUAAUGUGAAUAUUCGCUGUACCUAUUUUUUUCUUCUUAUUUUAAGCUAUUUCUGAGUUGAAAGCAUGAUGGCCUUAGUUCUCUUUGUUUUUACACAGGGAAAGCGGCCUGACAUAUUUGUGGUCAACUCUUUUGGGUCAGGAUUCCAGGUAAGCUUAAAGUCAUCUCUGUUUUAAAACAUUGUAGGUUUAAUAGCCACUAGUGAAAAGAGAAACGCUACUCAGACCGUCUUGUUUGGUAUCUUACGAUGCUAUGGAGUUUUCUCAUGGUUGUAUCCUUAGUCACUCAAUCCAUUGGCUUUUCUCCUAUUUGUGCACUCCAAAUCUGCUAUGUUGAACUAUGCAGGCUCUUUUUGUUUUGCUACUCCUGCCGUUUCUCUCUAAUUUGAAAGGCAUUCCAUUGACUGAGCUCCCUGCAUAUGUAAACCGUGGUGCUGCAUGCUUUCUGAAUGUUGGUGGUGGUAAUCUGAACGGUGAGUAUUACCCAUAAUCGUAGUAUCUUCAGAUGCUAAAUAGUUGAGCAUUGCUUGUACUCCGUAUACCAUGUAUUACUUCAAAUCUGUUGUUGGAUGGAGAAAAAACCUUCCCUAGAAUCUUUCCACUAAUAAGUAUCGUACUUUUCUCAUUUACUUGGACAAAUUGUUCGGUUAUGAAUGGCAUACACAAACACAACAGUCGCUAUAUAUAGCAGUUCAUUAUGUUGAAGGGCCCUUGUUUGUCACCUUGAUGCCUUGACCACUGAUUAGUAAAAGCUAUACGUCAAUCUGAGAGGCUGCCAUUCGAAAUUUUCCCUAAAGAUACCGUAAUCAUGUGCUGAUGUUUUGAGUUUUCAGAUUGUCCUGGAGCCCCUUUGCUACCACUGCUCUUCAUAACUAUGAACAUGGCCUUCAACAUUUCUGUGCUAAAUCUGGUGAAGAUGUCUACAGCACUGGUUGCUUCGCUAACAGCAACACUAGCAGGUUCAGUAACAAAACACACUCCCUCUGAAUAGUUUAAGAAGCACUAUGAUGGUUCAUACUUAUAACUACAAGGCACAGGUUUUUGUAGUUUAGUUAAAGGUACCAGGAUAAAGCUGUUUGAAAAUUGAAACAUUUUGUUUGGCAUGCAAAUCAUUUCGUAGUAUUGUGCUAGCACAUAUGCCCUGAUAAGUACCUAGCGCAUGGCACGUGCGUGCAAAUACACAAUUAGACAUGAUUCUUCUAUGUGGUCAGUCCUAUUCAUUUCUUACUUUCUGAUUUCUUCUUCCGCUGCAGUACCUCUUUCGAUAUACGUUCUGUCACUUCCUCUUCCAUACAUGCCUGGAGGAACAAGUUUAAGCACAUCCUUUUUGGUCGGCGCUGCUGUCUUGGUGCUUGGGUUGCUCCUAUACAACCUUCCUCAGAACUCAGCUGAUCAAGUGAAGACAGAGUGAUCAAAUCCAAAAUCACUCACAAGGAUGGCAGCCAGCUUUUGAUGCACCUUGAUACUCCCUCCGUAAACUAAUAUAAGAGUGUUUAGAUCACUAUUUUAGUGAUCUAAAUGCUCUUAUAUUAGUUUACAGAAGGGGUACAAUACAAGACCGUGCAUUUUCAACUGCGGUCUGCAGCACAUGUUUGUACAGAACUUCUGAAGGGUGUGAGCUCCGCAACCUGAGAGAAAUCUUUUCGCACAGGCAGGGUCUAAUAAAUUCUAACCUAUAAUGAACUCCCGGUGCCACCCACUCCACUUUAGCGACUCCAGCAACUAGCUUCAGUCUUUCUGUCAAAGAGAGCGCUUGGAAAUAUCAGAAGUUCGGUGUUCGUGUGGUUGCAAAUCAUCUACAGUUUUUAUUUUUUUGAUUCAUAAGCCAUAUUUCAAUGUAAAGGUUGUUUCUACUUGUGCGUCGAUGUAUUACCAAACGAAAUUGCUUAGUAUACCAUGCACAUCGCCAUCAAGCGCAAAACACAUGGGGUUGUCUACUUGUCUUGUCCAUUUAUCUCUGUCCAAGUACUGACGGAAAAUGUUCAUAUAGAAAAAUUUGACAAGACGGCUCUCCAAUACUAGAAUUUUUACUUGCGUCUGUAGUUCGUAUACACAUCUUUCUUUUUGAAUUUCGCUGCAAAUCAAUGUCAGUUUUUUUAGAAUGGCAAAUUGAAUG